AAACCACCAGUGUACAAGCCACCAGUUGAGAAGCCCCCCGUCUACAAACCUCCUGUAGAGAAGCCUCCUGUUUACAAGCCACCAGUAGAGAAACCACCAGUGUACAAGCCACCAGUUGAAAAGCCUCCGGUCUACAAACCACCUGUAGAGAAGCCACCUGUUUACAAGCCACCUGUAGAGAAACCACCAGUGUACAAGCCACCAGUUGAGAAGCCUCCGGUCUACAAACCACCUGUAGAGAAGCCACCUGUUUAUAAGCCACCUGUAGAGAAACCACCAGUGUACAAGCCACCAGUUGAGAAGCCCCCGGUCUACAAACCCCCUGUAGAGAAGCCUCCUGUCUACAAGCCACCAGUAGAGAAACCGCCAGUGUACAAGCCACCAGUUGAGAAACCCCCGGUCUACAAACCCCCUGUUGAGAAGCCUCCUAUCUACAAGCCACCAGUAGAGAAACCACCAGUGUACAAGCCACCUGUUGAGAAGCCUCCAGUUUAUAAGCCACCAGUUGAGAAGCCACCUGUGUACAAGCCCCCAGUCGAGAAACCCCCGGUCUACAAACCUCCUGUAGAGAAGCCUCCAGUUUACAAGCCACCGGUGUACAAACCUCCAGUUUACAAGCCACCAGUAGAGAAGCCACCUGUGUACAAGCCUCCGGUCUACAAACCCCCAGUUGAGAAACCUCCAGUUUACAAGCCACCGGUUUACAAGCCUCCAGUCGAGAAGCCACCAGUUUACGGACCACCUCACCACCCAUAGUACCCUCCCGUAGUUGGCACUACUCGUUUUUAAAGCAUGCUUUUAAGUAAAUAAGAGAUAUAUAAACUUUCCAAAGCAAGGAUCAUAUAUUCUUGGAAAUCUUCAAUUCAAUCUUAUGUUUACAAAUGCUAUUGCCAAGACAAGAGUGUGAAAGAAAAUGGUGCCAUUUGUACUUCAAAUUAUGAAUAAGAACGUUAUGAUUUAGUACUUCUUAUUUUGUGUUUGUUGACUAAAUUUGACAGAGUAUACUUUACUUGUUCCCUAUCAUACCAGUAAGGUGCAUGAAAGUUCAGUCUUGAACGGUGGAAAUAAAUAAUAAUUAAUUAAUGUUUGAAUCUCGAAUUUACUAAAUUAACGAACUUGUAAUUUCAUUGGAAUAUACUUGACUCAGUGGUAGCUUUAGUUUCAACUUGGAAAAUGUCCGUGAUAUGACAAUUUUUCCAAAACAAGUUUAGGUUAAGAUUUUUAUUUUUUAUUUUUGACAUAAUAUACGUUAAGAUUCUUGUGUACUAAUAGAAACUGAAAAAUCAUUUUGGUGCUUAAAGUUUAAUGAGUUGGACAAAUUAUUCACUCAAAUAUGGAAAUGAUAAUGUAGUCUCUUCAAUUAUAGAAUGCCAUUUAAUUUAGUUACCUUUUCAAAAUUAGCAUCACAAUUCGCAAGGUUUUAUAUUUGUGUUGAUGCAUCAGUUAAGAUAAGGAUCACGAAAAUUAGGUUUUUGACUUGGUUUUGAUUAGGGGUGUUUGCGGUGCGUUUUGGUUCGGUUUUGAGCAUAAAAGUCAUCUAAACCUCAAGAUAAAAAAGCAUGCGGUUUGGUUUGAUUCAGUUGAUUUUUAUAUAGUCAUCCAAACAAAACCAAACCAAACCAAUGCGGUUUGGAUUGGUUCGGUUUGUACGGUUUAUCGCGAGAUGAAAAAAUAUUACAUUAACUCUAAUAUUGCCAACUUGUUACAAAAUAAACAUAGGACAUUUUAUUUUGUUGUUUAUAUGAUAAAAUAUUAGGUAAAACUUAUAUCAAAAUAGGUAAAAUUAAGAAGAAACAUAAGCAUGAAACAAAUUAUUGAGAAGUAAAAGAAACAAAUUCAUCACUGAAAAUGAAUUGAAAGAGAUGGAAAGGAAUUAGAAUCGAACCAGAUGGUGCAACAAUGGAAAAAUCUAAUCAAAUGAGAUUAUUCUUGAGCUAUGUAAUUGGGCUAGUACAUGUUUAAGUAAUAUUCAUUAUUCUUGCGGUUUGGUUUGGUACUUGAGAUGCAAACCGCAAACCAAACCGAACCGCGCGGUUCAGUGUAAAAGUCAUCCGAGUUCAUUCGAACCAAGUGCAGUUUUUUGCGGUUUCGGUUUGGAUUGGUUUGGUUUGCGGUUUUUCUAUUGGGUUCGUUCGGUUUUGAACACCCCUAGUUUUGAUCGAUGUUUCCUGAAGAUAUGUUUUGGUAAUUGAACUAAAUAAACUGUCUUACAUUCUUCAAUUAAUGAGAUUAAAUUUCCUUUUUACAAAUAUCAAUGAUUAAUGUCAAGGACUAAAAUGAUGAUUAGUGUCGCGCCAUUUUUCGGAGGUCAAGGCCAUUUGAUUAGCUUUUGACUCACUUUUUAUCUCACGACUGAACAAAAAAUUUUUUAAAGGGGAAAAAGUUUCAAACCACCCAUUUUGAAAAGAUUUAGGGUUCAUGGGUUGGUUAUAUUUAGGGAAGGUAUUAGCACCCUAAAUAUUCGUAGUACUCUAUGAGUACCUCUUGAUUUUAUUUAACUUUUUGUGCUUAAACUUGCUUGCUUUUGAAGAGAUGAAAAUAGAAUUGAAAGAUGAGUUGAAACGAAAAAGAAAAUUGAUUUUAAUUGAAAAGAAAAAAGAAAAUUGUUUUUUAGUUGAUUUGGAAGGACAAGGUCCUCUGCCUACGUACCCGUGAGGGAUCAAAACCUCGUAGUUCGGGGUAGAAAUUGACGUUUGAUUGGUUUUAUAUUUUUUAUUAGUUUUUGAAAAAAGGUUUGAAAUAAAAAGCCAAGUGGCAAAUGAGAAUUGAUUUGUGUUUUUUGGAUUGAAGGAAAUAGACUUGAAGUAGAAUUAAAAUUGAUUUGAGAUUUGAUUAAGAAAGAAAAUAGAAAUAGCGAUCACUUCAUUGAAAGUCAAGGUUUGUUAUAAAAAUAUUUUUUUGUGAUUUUUUGAUAUUUGGAUGUUUUUGCCGUUUUUGAAUAAUGAAUGAAAAUUAAACUAACAGAGCAAUGAAAAUAAAAGUGCGUGGGCGUGAAGAAAAGAUUUUGGUUUAUGUUAGUUCGACAAUAUAAAUAGUAUUUAAUAUAUGUUGUGUUCACUUUGGAUAUUAUCGGACAAAAUUUUGACAAUAAUAAAAAUAAUAAUAGUAAAAUAGAAUAAAAAAUAGAAAGACUAAAGUGAAUCAAAAUGAGAUAAAAAGAUAAAUAUUUAAAACGGAUUUAAAGUUAAUAAAAGAUGGAAACUAAAAUUAAAUGAAAUUUGAAAAUUGAGAGAAGAGGGUCCGACUUGGAACCAAAUAUGAGGUAUUUUAAAAUACCUUCCUAUCGAAAUUUUGUUCGAAAGGCUGAGACCGGUCGGAGUUAAAUGACACGUGUCAGUGCUGCCUUAGGUCAAAAAUUGGGGUAUGACAAUUAGCUCAAUAAUUAAUUAUUGUGAUUUCUUCAUUUUAUAUUUAUAUUUAAGAAUAAAAAAAAAAAAAUGACGAUAUCAACUUUGACACAUUACAUAUUCAAUCAAUGUUGACUUGACCAUCAAUGCUACAUAUCCGGAUGUAAGAGUAGUUCGACGAGUUUAUUUUUGUCACUUUUGUUGAUAUUUUGUUGGUUUAUGCUAUUAACUUGCAUCUAGUAAACUUGUUCAUAGCUUCAUCAUUUUCAGUUUUAGUGACAUGAUAUUUGUGUUGUAUUCAAUGUGAUUUACCGCGCGAUAUGAAUAAUAUAUAUUUUUAGUCAAAAUUAAUCAUGUCGGACCUGAGAUCUUUGGUUUGAUGGCGUUGAACGACCUUUGAGUAAGACAAUGUUAAACCAAAAUGAGUUUUAUACAAUGCCUCUGAAGUUUUGAUAAUAACAAAGUAUAAAAAGAACAAUUGAAUAUGCCAAUGUUGUUCAAGUAUGCUCGACCAUAUAUUAAAAUUCAAAGUAUUAAAUCAAGUUUUGAUUCUGAAAGAACAAGAUUAUGAACAUAUACAAGAGCAUCUGCAACUUAUGAGAAGCUGGAAAUUUGGAUCAGACUCUGAAUAAGUAAGACUGUGAAAGUCGGGAGUGUAACACCCUGAACCCCACAUACUAUUUUUAAAAGUAAUAAUUCAACAUUUAAAUAAACAUAUCAAGAUGUUACUCUUCAUUUUCAACACAUAACAAGUCUCCAUCUUAAAAUAUCAACUCACAGCGGAAAUAAGUCUCAACAACACAAAUGUCAUACAUCAUAUCUCAGAAUAAGUACAUCAUCAAAAUAAACUCAAGGUUCCUCAAACAUAAUAUGAUAACAUAAAUAAAAUCCCAACAUCCUAAUCAGAGAACCACUAGACAAGACUCCAAAAUCAAAGCGGUAAAAGAUGAGUAGGCUGCAAGCCGUCCUCGGAAACUCAUGGUAACUUUGCGUCCUCAACCUGCAAGUCUCCACCACAAGGGCGUAGGCGACCAUUUGCCAAACGUAGGGUAAGAUAUAAAUUUAACAUAGAGGAAAUAUGAACACAUAUAUAGUAUUAGGAUCGCAACAUCAUAUACAAGUAUUCAUCUUAAGCAAUACCAUAUUAACAUGCAUUCUCAUUGAUUGGUAAAAUAUACACAACAAAUCUCAAAUCAUCAUCACAAGAAUAUAAAAAAGUAAACACAUCAUUGAUUAAUCAUCCAAUGGAAUACAUAGGAUUCACACAUUAUCACUUUCAUUAAAUCACACAUUUUCCAUAAAAUACACAUAGUCAUGUAUGCAUCUUUCACAUAGAUUCACAUAGUCAAGUACUCAUCUUCUACAUAGACUCUCAUGUACGAAAUGUUCCUACUCGACUUUAUAUGCAUGUGGUACUGUUUUCGAUAUCAGAGGUAUUUUCUGAGUGAUUUCACCGUCACUUGGACUGACCAUGAAUGCAUGAACAUCUCAUCAUGACUCGACAAUGCAUAAUUCAUAUAACUCGACAAUUUACAUCAACAACAUCAUCACAUCGUAUAUUAAUUCAUCGUCGCUAUAUCAUCAUCAUCAUCAUCAUCAUCAUCAUCAUCAUUUUCAAUGUCAUUAUAUCAUCAUCAUCAUCAUCAUAUCAACAUCUAUAUAUAGUUCAAAUCAUCAUGUCAAACCAUAUCAAUAUGUAUCCACCUCGUCUCGCAAUCACAUUCACAGUCAUCAUCAUUAUAUAUUCAUAAGACAUUAUUCUACAUCAUCAAGUAUACUUCGUUAAUCAUCUAACAAGUUCACAGUCAUUUCAUGAUUCAAUUAUAAUUAAAUCACAAGUUUAUUUCUAACCAUUUCAAUUGCUAAGUUUACUUCCAUCAUAAGCUAGGUUAAUUACUCUUACACAUCAAAAUUAUACUUCUAUUAAUCAAGUUUAGAGGUUUGUGACAUAUUCACAUGCAUUGGAUACCUUAAAAUACCAAAAAUAUGAGUUUCCCACUAUAGGGAGGGUUGCACGGUAGUGCCAUCCAGGUGCACAGUCGUGCUCAUCAUGCAGGUAGGGAAAAGCUAUAAUUUUUGCGUUUUGCUCAGGAAGAACCCCUUUCAACACCAUUUUUCGAUCCAAUUCACACCAAACUAGACCCAAAUCAUAAAACUAAUGUUGUCUAAUCAAUUACACAUUAAUUUUACCUUAACUAACUUUAUUAUACUCAUUAUUAUCGUCAAUUAACAUGAACUUCAAUUGUUUUAAACUUAUCACUUCAAACCCAUUUUUAACAUGGUAAUUCAAACCCCAAACAUAGUAACAACCAAAUCAACAUCCCUUAUUCAAAAUGAACACAAAAAAAUUCAUCAAUUCACAUUAUAAACAUCAACUCAACAAUUAUCAACAAUUAUCAUGAAUUUCACCAAUUUCACAUAAAACUCAAAAACCCUAAUUCACCAUAAUCAAACAUUGAUUUUAACACAACUGUUAGGUUUGUAGUCUUGACAUGUUGGUGCGACAUCAUAGCGUGCCUUGUUCCGAUUUCUUGGAGAUUGUAUUUAAAUGUGAAAUCGCAGAAGAAAACUAAACGCAUCACAACUAAGAAAAGGUAGAAUAAAACCUUUCUACAAACAAAGCGCACAUCACUUGAAAGCAAAAUAAAUACGCAACUAAAUUUCAAAAAAGAUAUGCAUAAAUUAUCAUAGAAUAAGGCACCAAGUAACACGUUCUUACGUCUCAGAUUACCAAAUGGCUCUCCGAAAAAUAACCAGAGUAUGAUAAAAUUACAGAUUUCCCAAAACAAAAGGAACAUAAACUAAAAUACAAAGCACGAAAACAAAGAAGACACAACAACAUAACUCUUCAUCCACUAACUUUCCAUCAACCAAAAUCUUGGAGGGGUCCAGCUCGCUCACAUUAUCAUCAGGGUUAAAAUGCAGAACUUGCGCCCUAGUAUGCUCAAAGCCAUUGUCAAAAUAUAAGGCAAGAUCCCCCUUGCCAUCCUCAACGACGAAUUGAGCUUUGGCGAGAUCCCCUUACAACUAGACGACCUUCUUCUUCCAUGAAUCUCUCUCCAGCUCAACAACUUCUUUUUCAUCCUUCAUAUCUUUGGUCGUCUUCUCUGCAGUCUUCUUAUCCUCCAAGGCUUCCUUCAACCUACUUUCAAGACCCGUUGCUUUAUGCUUCCACUUCUCCACAUCUUCAUGAGCGUCUUUAUACUUUGCCUCUAAAGCACCAUGUUUCUUCUCCAUCACUUUUCCUAAUAAAAGGACCCGGAGCACUAAUAUUCUUGUAUCCAUUACUAGCUCGCCAAAUUUGCUUUUAACGCCAGCAUCAACGUCAACCUUAGACAGUGGCACUUUAUCCUCCAUGUAGCUACGAUAAACGCAUGACUUAAAAGUUGAAAACCCACUAACAUUACUAGAAUUUAAGUAAAAUCUCAUCAUCAAAUUAAACUCUCAUACCUACGAAAGUCGAAAUCUUUAUGCCAAAAAGAGUCAGCCACCUGAACAUUCAGAGAAAUGGUUCCCGCCACCCCGCUAGCAUAAUCAUCAUCCUUCCGACUGGCAACAAAUGUCCGCUUCGAGUCGCCCUUCCCAGUCCUCAUCUUCUUGCGUCUGGGCGAGUCAGUUUGCUCAGCCAGUACCCCAUUGCCUGCCGUCUCCAUGUUAUCAAUGUCCAUAUCCGAAUGUAACAUCCUAAAAUUUUAAGUCUAUAUUCAAAUGUAGUUAAAAAUAUAAAACAUAAUAGUGUAAUUAUUUUAAAAUACGCGAAGAUAAAAAUAAAGACAAAUAAAUAUGAUAUAAUUUCUUAUUAAUAAUUAAAUUUUAUUGGAUAAAAAGAAAAGGAGAAAGAAAGAAAAACAAAAAUAAAGGGAGUGCAAAUAACAAUUAUUUUUAGAAAAGAAAAAAAAAGUUAUAUACUUUCUCGAAUUUUUUUUCUGCCCUUGUUUAUGCAAAAAAAUACAAAAAUGCCCCACUUUUUCGAAAAAUUGCGUAAAUGCCCUACUUUUUCAGAAGCCCCUGGUACUACUCCACUUGGAGUUGCGGGGUACCCUAAAAAGUCACAAUUUUUUUGUCCUUAUUGUACGCCGCUACUUGGACUUGCGGGGUACUUUCCUACUUUUUUUUUUCCACUUUUUUUACUACCCCGCGAGUCUUAGCUUUUGCUUUUUUUUUUAAAAUUUUUUUUUUUUAAAUACCCCUCUACUUGGAGUAGAGUGGUAUAAUGAAGACAAAAAAAAUUCAACGUGUAAUAAUUACUCUCAAAUAAUAAAAAACUAAUUAAAAUUAUAUAACCAAUAAAAUACCAUCUACAAUGAUUAUAAAUGCCCGGCUGUCCCACACCUUCGUCUUCGACGAUCUCUUCCGCGAUUUACUUGAGGGUUAUGUUGGUCUUCGUCAUUUUUAUUUGUAGUUGAUUGUAUCUGACUACCAUAACCCAGUGACAACGACACAUCGUGUUCUCUUGUUGGCCAUCCCAUAUCCAGAAAUUGUUCAUUGGAGUUCAACGAAGUCGGAGAGAAGUGAGAUAAUAGGUUUGUUGGUGUUGGUGGGUGGUUGUAGUUUUGGUUGGUGUACAUUGGGUAUUGUGGGUUGUUGUAGGGGGGUAAUUGGUGUUGGACGGUCCAGCUUGGUUUGGGUCAUUAUAGGAGAAGUAGUUGUUGUUGGAUGUGUUAGCUUGGUUUGGUUCAUUGUAACCAUAAUUUGUCAUUGAAUUUUGUUGGUAAGUUGACUGAUAUUGGGGCUCAUAUGCAUUUCUCGGGGAGGUAUAUGGUGGUGGUUGGAUGAUAUUUUGUUGGGGGGUGUCGAGAAAUUCAUACAUUACAGAACCAUGAAUGUUUUGUGUUGUAUGUGGUUGGGAUUGAUGAUCUUGUAGUUGAGAAAAAAUGUCUUGAUCCCAAAAAUCAUCAUGAAUUGGUGUUUGGUUGUUGUGAAUUUCAGGUUCAUGUUCCGGCUCCGGCUCUUCUUGUUCGUCUGGAUCUGAAUCUGAUGGUUUUGUCUCAACUGAAAUCCUUAGACGUGGGUUGCAUGUGGUUGUCAACCACUCAAUAUACGCAUGAGUUGGGGUGAGUGAUCUUGGCCGCAUGUGAGGUAAAAUAUAACUCCGUCGGUUGUCCCAAUGUAAGCUCUCUUGUGGAAAGUGAAAACCAUUUGAUUGGUACCACAUCUUGAACCGUUUGUCCACUAUAUGGAAUUGUCGCAUGUCUCGUGGGGCCCCUGGUAUUUCCUGUGGCAAACCAAAUUCUAGCUUGACCCUAUCAGUUGGAUGCCAUUCAACUCUGUCAAAACAUAUAAGGUGAGUUGUUGCAGUCCACUCCCAAUAGUCUUCAGGAAAAUUGUGUGGAACAUUCUUGUAUGGUCUCCAUUUAAACUGGCAGAAGAGAGAAGUUGUAGUGUAAGGUUAACAAUUUUGAUAUAUAUAUAUAUAUAUAUAUAUAUAUAUAUAUAUAGUUCGAUAGGUGAAAUAUAUAUUCAUUAUUAAUUAAAUAACUCCUAAUUAAAUACUUGUAAAAAAACUCAUGAUUAAAUAAAUAAUUAAUUUAUAAUCGCGACAUUUUUUUAGUCCUAUAUUAAUUGCAUGUCCUACUUUUUUUUUUCUUACAAAAGAAAGUUAACAUAUAGCUUUUUAUUUCUUUACGACCAUGAAAGUGUUAAUAUGUAGCUUAAAUAACAAAAUAUCUUAAUUAUAUUUAAUUAGACCAUGAAAGUUAGUUUACCCUUGAAAUUACAUAAAAAAAAAAUUACCGUUCAAUAUAUAUAUAUAUAUAUAUAUAUAUAUAUAUAUAUAUAUAAACUCAUACAUUCAAAAAUCAAUUAUAAUAUUACUUGAUGUUCCAGUAUGUCAUCAAACUUUUUUCUGUAAGAUAUAGUGUCAUGGCUUGGAUUCUCGUAGUAUCUUGAACCUGCACCUGUCCAUCUAACAAAUGAUAUAAACAAAUUAGUAGCUAAUUUAUCAAAUAAUAAUAUUAAUAAGAAGCGAGAAUAUGCGAGGAAAUUAACAAAAAAAAUAAAUAAAUUAAUUGACCACGAUUACUUUAAUCCUAGCGGCUACUGGAGUGGGUUAUCAUUUCUCGGAGCGAUAUAACUCAACCGACAAUAUCCCCAAACUUGUAACAGAAAAUGACAUCCAGAUAGUGCUUUUAUAUUUGGGUGUGAUGCCUCACACAAGCCACGAUAAAGGUAAGCCAAAACUGCCGAUCCCCAACUAUAAUUUCUUGUUUCAUUAAAAUCCAUUAACAAAUACAACCAAGAGUUGUGCACAAAUAAUCCAGUUGUAUUAGGAAACAAGAACCCUCCAAAGAGGUAUAGUAGGUACCUCCUGUGUGUUGUAUUUUUACCUCCGGAGGAGAUUGUUCACUGAAGUUAUUAUCGACCAGAUUAUCCUUUAAUCACGACAACGAGAGAGUAAAACCAUCAGUUUUGUGUGCUGGAGGAGUUAUUCCCAACAAUUGAGCACAAUUAUUCCACAGAAGAUUUGGAGGAGCCGUAACAAUUGGUCCUCCAAAAGGUAAGCCGAGUAAAAUAUAUACGUCUUCAAACGUGAUUGUACAUUCACCCGUUCGAAAAUGAAAAGUAUGUGUUUCGGACCGCUAUCUUUCUACAAGAGUGGUUACGAUGUGCCUAUCAAUUUUGUAACGCCCUAUUUGAGAAACCUCAAAAAAUCCAGCUUGACGUAGAUAAUCUUCAAUAUAAGGACUUGGUAUGAUGUUUUGCCGUGUACGAGUGGUUAGAGGUGCACCCUCUGCAUCCUAACAAAAAAUAAUAAAGGAAUAAAAUUAAAACAUAAUCAAAAUAUAAAUUUAAAAAAACGUGAACAUAUUUAAAUUAAUAUUAAAAAAUAAAAAUGACAUUAACAAAUUAAUAUCUAUAUAUACCCAUCUUCUUAUAUGUUCUUCCAUGGAUCUAUGAUCAUUUUCCAACCACAAGUAUGCCAUUGCUUUAUAGAAUUUGAUUGAAAUAAUCUCUUAUGUGAGUGAGUAAGGAAAGGAUUGAGAUAAGUAGAAUAUGUGUAAAGAGUAAAAAUAUAGUUGUGGUAUUUAUAAUGUAAAACUAUGUGUAAAUGGUAGAAGUAGUAGUGUGGUAUUUUAAUCAAUGAAGUGAAGAGUUCCUGUGUUACUACUGCAACGCAUGCAAGCCAACAGUGUUCAAAUAAACAUAGAAAUGACAAUUGCAUCAAUAGCAGAAGCAUGGUGUUCAACAAUAUUGAAUUAAUUCGUAAACUUUGCCUCAUGAGAUGACCAUUGCAUGUAAAAAAUACAUUAAUUUCUUGCAAGAAAUUUUUGACUGAAAUGACCAAUGCAUGUUUUGAUCACGUGAAGCAUGCUAGCAAACAAAUGGCCGACAAGCUGCCUCUGAAUAACCAAUAGGAACGGCGCGUGCAAAUACUACCCCGCCACUCUGGGUUGCGUGGUACCCCCAGCUGGCGCAUGCUUUACAUACCCCGCCACUCCAGCUUGCGUGGUACCCCCCAGCUGGCGCGUGCUUUACCUACCCCGCUACUCUAGCUUGCGUGGUACCCUCUAGCCCGCUAGUCCAAACUGCGUUGUACCUUUUUUAAUUUUCCCGCUCGAAGGGCAGAUUAAAUUACAUGUUAGUAUAAAUAAAAGUGGUCUGCAUGAUAUCAUUGUAUCAAACCAUUCUACUUCAUACUCUUACUCAUUUCUUAAGAUCAAACCAAUUCAAUGGCACCAAAUAUAAACGUUUUUGUGUACUAUAAUGGAGAAGUUAAACAAAAUGAAUCCGGUAUUUUUUUUCAAAGUCAGUAUACCAAAGGUUUUAAAGUCAGCAUGGCUAGUACUUACUUGCAUCUCAAAAGAAGAAUUGCGGAAAAAGUAUGUCUCGAAGAUAAUAUGGUUGUGUCUGAAAUUAUGUGUCGGAAUCCUAUGUUUGUUGGAACUACCACAAUUCAUUACCAGGCGUUAAGAAUAACUGAUAACGACGAUGUCGAGUUUAUGUUUAACGUACAUAAAAGUCACAGUUCUUUGUCCUAUAUAGAGCUUUAUGUUACGUUUGAGAUGAAGAAUCCAACAUCUAAUUUUGAGUUAAAUUACCCAUCGAGUUCUAGUCAACACCAAAGUCUACCACAACACUACAAUCCGUCAUCGUCGCAAGAACACUACAACCCAUCAUCGUCCCAACCGCACUAUAACCCGUCUCCCAUUUAUGAUGCAUCCUUAUCGCAACCUUUUCAGUCAAAGUGGUCACAAAAUGUGUACGAACCAUCACAAAUAAUAACUCAACCUCAUCCCUCUCAAACACCAUCUCGUUCAACACAACCCAAAACCUUAAACGAUGAAAUCAAUAUAUUCACCUCCCAAUUUCAAGACCAACCAAAUGAUGAAGUUCAAGAUGAUGAAGACGAUGAUGAUGAAGAACUCCUUGCCGCACAAAACGGUGACGAGAACGAAGAAGACGAAGACGACGAUCUGCCACUACUACCAAUUUUACCAAUCAGAGCUUCUUACAACCCACCAAGGUCCAUGCGCAACGUCAAUGAUGACCACUCAACUGAACUUUAUCAUUCAAUGGCUCUUCCGGUCGAUCAAGGUAUUGCCCUAGGGAUGCAAUUUCAUAACAAGAAUGAUUGCAUUCUCGCAAUUAAAUUUUAUCACAUGAAAAAAUCAACGGAUUAUAUUGUGAAAAAAUCAGAUCCUGAAAGGUAUGUCAUCAAAUGUAAAGAUACAAAAUGUGGUUUCAAAUUGCGGGCCUCGUGGAGGAAAAAAACUGAUAAAUGGGAGAUUGGGAAAAUGAAUGAUCAUACAUGUGUCUCAACAGAAAUGACGCAAGAUCAUCAUAAACUUAGUUACAAUGUGAUAUGUGAAAGUGUUAAAUCACUACUACAUAUGGAUACUUCAAUUACAGUGAAGGUUAUAAUUGCACACAUCCGAGAGAAGUUUAAUUACACAGUUUCAUACAGAAAGGCAUGGAGAGCACGGAAUAAGGCGAUUAAAUCAAUUUAUAGUAAUUGGGAGGAGUCUUAUGAAGAACUACCACAAUGGUUGAUGGUCAUGGAAAAAGAUUUGCCAGGAACAAUAAUUGAUUUUCAAACGGACCCAUCAACAGAAGUGGCAAAUGAGACCGUCUUCAAGCGUCUUUUUUGGGCCUUUCGUCCGUGCAUCUCAGGUUUCGAAUUCUGCAAACCAAUUGUCCAAAUUGACGCAACUUGGUUGUAUGGUAAAUACAAGGGAACAUUGUUGUUAGCUGUUGCGCAAGAUGGGAACAACAAGAUAUUUCCCAUAGCUUUUGCAAUCGUGGAAGGCGAGACCAAGGAGGCAUGGAGUUUCUUUUUGAAAAAUUUAAGGCAGCAUGUCACCCCACAAGAGAACAUAUGCCUCAUUUCUGAUAGACAUGUGUCGAUAAAGAGCGCGUAUGAUGAUCCACAGAAUGGAUGGCACGAUGCUCCGACAAGCCAUGUUUAUUGUGUCCGACACAUUGCACAAAACUUUAUGAGAUCAUUCAAGGAUGGAGAACUAAAGAAGAAAGUUGAAUGCAUGGGUAAAAAUCAUAUCUCUUUCCACGUAAAUUCGACAUUUUAUUUGUUUAAAAUGACACAUCUAACUUUUUUCAAAACAAUGCAGGUUACGCCAUGAACAUCCCUACAUUCGAAUACUACCGUUCUGAAAUUGCUGUUGCAGACCGAAAGGCUUUAGCAUGGGUCGACAAUAUUCCCAAACAAAAGUGGACUCAAUCACAUGAUGAUGGUCGACGAUGGGGCCAUAUGACAAGUAACUUGGUAGAGUCACAAAACAACGUGUAUAAGGGUAUUCGAGGACUUCCGAUCACAGCUAUCGUGAAAGCAUCAUAUUACAGGUUGGCGGCCUUGUUUGCUAAAAGAGGACAUGAGGCAGCGGCAAGGGUAAAUUCUGGUGAGCCAUUCUCAGAAAACAGCAUGAAAUAUCUCAGGAAUGAGGUGAUUAAAUCCAACAGUCAUCAUGUCACACAGUUUGACCGGGAUCGGUAUACCUUUUCCGUCCGUGAAACCAUCGACCAUAAAGAAGGAUUGCCAAAGGGAGAAUACAAGGUGGACCUGCAAAAUAAAUGGUGUGACUGUGGACGAUUCAGAGCGUUACACCUACCAUGCUCACAUGUCAUUGCCGCAUGUUCUAGCUUUUCUCACGACUACAAGACUUUUGUCGAUAACAAAUUCACGAAUGAGUGUGUAUACGCCGUAUACAACAUCCACUUCGACGUGGUUCACCACCAGACAUAUUGGCCUAAUUAUGAAGGACUGAAGGUGGUUCCCAACAAGUCCAUGUGUAGGGUAAAGAAAGGUCGUCCACCAAUUACUCGCAUUAGGACCGAGAUGGACGAUGUGGAAACUGAGAGAAGAUGCGGCGUUUGUAGGAUGCCUGGUCAUUCCCGCAAAGAUUGCAUUAAUAUUAGACACCAGUAAAAAUCUAGUCUUUAUUUCGUUUGUAGGAUGUAUGGUCAUUUCCACAAAUAAUUGUAGAUUUUAUGGUAUUUUAUUGGUUAUAUAAUUUUAAUUAGUUUUUUAUUAUUUGAGAGUAAUUAUUACACGUUGAAUUUUUAUUUUUUUUUGUCUUCAUUAUACCACUAUACUCCAAGUAUUUAAAUUUUUUUUUAAAAAAAGCAAAAGCUAAAACGCAAGUCCAACUUGCGGGGUAGUAAAAAAAGUGGAAAAAAAAAAGGAAAGUACCCCGCAAGUCCAAGUAACGGGGUACAAUAAGGACAAAAAAUUUGUGACUUUUUAGGGUACCCCACAACUCCAAGUGGAGUGGUACCAGGGGCUUAUGAAAAAGUAGGGCAUUUGCGCAAUUUUUCGAAAAAGUGGGGCAUUUUUUUAUUAUCUUUGCAUAAACAAAGGCAGAAAAAAAAAAUUCUACUUUCUCCCCACGUUUUCUCAAAAUUUGUUUCUAAAAUAAUAAUAAAAAAAGAAAUAGUUAUUUCAGAAAGAGAAACCGUGUGAUAUUUUUUAAUUAGUGUACACCUACACUUCUCAUGUGCCUAUAAAUAAGAUGCUUAGUUGAACAUAAACUCACACUACAAAACUCUCCUCUCUCUAAAAAAUCAGGUUAGUUCUCUCUCUCUCUCUCUCUCUCUCUCCUUUUCUGAACUUUCUCUAUUCAAUCUAUAGUCAUUCUUUAUUCUUUUGAAAGAGACAAGAUUUACUACUAAAAUAACCUCAGAUUUGGUCCCCACAACCCUUCUUUUGGGAAGAACAACAACAUAGUAUACCCUUCUUUUGGGAAGAACAACAACAUAGUAUUAGAAUGUUCUUUUAUCAGAUGAGAAAGUGACAGUAGUUUAGUUCUUUUCAACCUAAUCAAACCAUGAAAAUAGUUUAGCUCUUUUCAACCAUUCUUUUUCAACAGAAACAUCAUUCAAUAAAAUAAAAUAAAGAGAUCUCAGAUCUGUUUUAGACUUUUAGUAGAAAAAAUUACACGAUUUAAUUAUUGUAUUUUUUAUACUGAUACAAACUAUGAAGAUUGAAACAAAGUUCAUAAGAAAGUUGAGAUCUUGUUUAAUUCAUAUUUUUAGUUUAAAGAAAAAUAAAGAAAUGAACAUUGUUUUAAGAAUGACGUAAUGACUAUUAAAUGGCUUUUAAACAUUCUGACUAUAUAAAAAGGUAGUAACAUAAGUUUCAUUUGAAAUAAAAUAAAAUCAAGCUAUUAUUAAAAUAUAUCUAAUAUAAUCUGAAGAAAAAAAAAGGACGUGAUACAGAGAAACAAAGGAAUUAGAAAACUUUAACUCGUUAUCUCUAUUAUUAUGACCUUGAUAAUGACUAUAGUCUAAUAGAUAGUUUAUUUUGGGUGAGUAUUCUAGGUGAUAUUGGAGCUGCUUUCGACGGAAACAAUAUUGCAACCACUUGCGAAGAAUCCGAAGGUAAGGGGAAUUACUACUAAUAAAUUUUAAAGAUUUUGCAUAAGUUAUGUGCUUAAGUGAUUAUAUGUGAGUAAAUAACUCUACUUGUGAGAGUUAAUUUCUCGAUGAUGUGGUAAUUUCUAGCGAUCAAGUACAUGUCAAAGGACAUCGACUUAUAUGUGUUUUAGUUAAUAUAAUUAGGAGUUUUUGAAAAUAUAAUACAUAAGUAGAAGAAAAAGUUUUGUAAAUGAUGAAUUGAUUAGAUAGUUAUAUUAUGUUUAUUUGGUAUUACUCUUGUGUAAGUGAAUGAGCAUAUGAAUUUCAAUAAGUGUUAACUGAUUUCGAUGAGUGAAAUUAGUUGGAAAUAUAUGAUUUAAAGUGUCAAUUAUGAUUCGACGCGAUAAUUUAUAAUGUUAAUCAUGAUUAAAAACUUCUCUAUAAAAAGAAAUGAUCUAAGAGAGAUAGUUGUAUCCCACCUCAUUAAUUUUAUGGUAUCAACUCAUAGGUAUGUUGUAAAGGAAAGAAACUUAAGAAUGCCAAACUAUGAUCACUAACUUAGUACGUAGACAUAGUAUAUAUAGUUAUAUUGUACGUGUAGGAAAUUCUUUAAAACAAAUGUAUAUGUGCUUUUUAACUAGGCAACAUGAAUUAUUCUUUGUUAAAAUCUCAUGAAUAAAAAGAACAUGUACUAGUUUAAUUGAAUUACCUAAGUUCUUACUUACUGCUGAAAUUUCUAUGCUUAUAAAUAAAUGAAAAAGAACAUAUGCUGGUCAUUAAUUGUUCAGUUAUUAUGUACUGGCUUGAUUUACUUGCUGGAAUUUCUAUGCUUAUACAUAAAUGAAGAGGGACAUAUGCUGGUUAUUAUUUGUUGAGUUAUUAUAUACUGGUUUGAUUUACAUCACUGUACUAAUUGAAUAAAAUUCUGAUGUGGCUAAUCAAUUUUAUAAACAUAAAUGGUUAAUUGUUUGACAUUGUUGAGUUGAAUAUGAGUGUUUUGUCUUGUCUAGAAAGUAGGGACAAUUAAGGAGCUAUAACAGGUCCCUAUACACUCAGGUGUAGAUGAGAAUGAGGAUAGUUAUGGUUUGGUUACUUUGAGGAUCUAUCGAGGGCACUUGUGUUUCGAACGCCUAUCAAUAGUUGGGGAUUGCUUCCCGGCUGAAAGUACUCGUACUACCAGACACGGUGAGCCUGAAAAAACUAGACUAUCUAUGAUAAGGUAGUGCGAUCGGACUAGAAUGAUUAGAGUUUAAGCAUAUCUUGCUCAAAAUACUAAUAAUCAUGAUAUAGUUGCCGAAACGGCCUUAUGCUCAUUAGAGUGGAACCUCCAUGGAGUAGUGAAUUAUGAGAAGAAAAUAAACUAGAGUCAAGAAAAAAAAAGUCAAAAGAGUUCAUGCAUGUGUCAUGUUGAAUGUCAAACUAUUAAUUCAAAUUGGACCUCUUAAAAGAUAGUUUUUUUUUUUUUUUUUUUAUAAUAUGCUUUGUGAUUGUUGUUGGACAGUGAAUGAAAAGAAAAUAUUAUAUCUAUGUAAAUAUCAUUUUACCUUGCUGUAUAUAUAUUAUUUUCUUUUUCCUUAUGUAAUAAAUCACGUGGAAAACUUGUGUACGAGUAAUUCACCCUUCUUUGUUUGUUUUUGUAUCUUGUUGUUUUUUUUGGGUAUGUUCGGACGUUUUUAUAGAUGAUGCCAGAAAGACAUUUAGCUCACUCGGGAACCCGCAUGAUCGAGUUCCUUGAGGUAUUUUCUUUUGCAACACUUAUUAAAGAAGAAAGUAAUAAUAAAUCAAAACACUCACACAAAGACGCCUCAAGACUAUUGGAAUCACCCUAUCGUAUCAAAAGCUCAUGAAUAUCCAUAAGUAAAAACUUCUCCAAAAAGAACACCAUACCCUACUCAUAGGGUGCCAUCUUAUUAAAAUCAUACCCCAUCACUGCAAUCGGAGCAAUGAUCCAACAUAAAGGAAACUUUGGUUUUCCUUCCACCAUCACCAACGAAGUUGAGCCCUCAGGCUCUCCUUGCACCCUAACAAACGAAUCACACCAAUCCUUCUUAAAGUUAGAAGCAUAAGGAGGGAAAAGUUUUUUACUAGGAUAGGCACUAAUUGAAACCCACAUUCCCUUGUUUACAUCUUUCGUCCUAUAAAAAUGGAAGAAGACGCCAACAGAAGGCUCCAAACUCAUCCUUACAAAGUAGUUUGAAUCCACGAAUAAACGCCUAGCUAUUAGGACGUAUUUGCGAAGGCGCCACAUUCAGAAACUUUAGCACAUCCAUCUCAAAAUCCGUAAAGGGUCGUCACCCCAAACUCUUCCAACACCGUCAUAUACAUAAGAAAGGAAUCAUCCCUGACACCCUCCAAACGCUGAUCGCACACUCUCUCGCCUACAUCACAGGGCGACACUGUCACAUCUUUCUCGUUCUCAGUAGCAGAAGUAUCCAUCUUGUUUCAGAAUAAAUUGAUAUCCGAAGGCGACAUAUAUGAAAACACCGCUCGAAGAACUUCUUCAGCUAAAUGAUUCAUCUCCAACUCAUAAGAAUACGUCAAACACAUAAUCUCUUUUUGAGUAGACGGAAGAGGCAUAUAAUGACAAAUCUCUUGACAAGUUUUCCCCCUACGACAAAUCACUAUCACUACCAUUAGAGCUAUCGCUACUAGUGUUGCUAUCAUUGGACAAUUCCCCUAAAACCCUACGAUAAAAAAGCCCUAAUUCGUAAGCUUCCCAAUCAAUCAAGUCAUUAGGAUGUGUUGCAUGUCUUAAAGAAUCUCUCCUCAGUUGGUCUCUCUCAUCAAAAUUCGUAGGAGAGAAGGCGAAAAAUGAGAGAAGGAAAAUGGAAGAGUACUUGAGAAGAUUGAAAACGUGAGCUUAGAAAUCCAGACAAUCAGCUGGCAAGUGCGCGAAUACGGAGAACUAAAAGGCGAAAAAUGCGGAAGUGAAAUGAGGAAAGGAAGGAAAUGAAGGGUCAAAGAGUUUUAGAGGACAACAACAAUUAAAACCCCCUCAAAAAACACGCUCAUCCUUGGCACGAUUGGAGACACGUGUCAAGAUACACCCAGAUUCGAACACGUCACUAUCAUCGAAAGGUCACACAUUUUGGACCAUACAAUCAUGUUAAAAAUGAAAGAUCUCGUCGAUAUAGAAUUUCAAAAAACUCGUUGCCAACUCCUCAAACAGGAAACUUACUCGCCGUGCUGUUACAAAUCACUUCGCCUUGUCCCAAGACUCGUGGUUGGGGGCUGUGAACAAACAUCAGGCAUAAAACGCAUGACUCGACUAGCACACACCCUAGGGGGCUCUAGGAUAAAGCAUAAUCACCCAAGGGGGACUCUGUAAGCUCCAACAACAACAUCCAAAGACAUACACAAAAAAUACUGAUAAACGUAAAAUAAAUUCCAAAUGCUAAUUAAUCAUUUCGCCUUGUCCCAAGACUCGUGCUUAGGAGGCUUUGGACCGUCAAUAUCUUCUUAAGGACCUAGAAGUCCUCCCAAAGGGCAUUUAGACCCUCCUAGAUGCCUAACACCCUUCAAAAGGGCUCUAAGGCCCAACACGCGCCCUUCCUAGGGAGCCGCCUCUACCAGCUUCUAAAACCUCCAAAGCUCGGCCUAAAUACCUAAUACGAUUACAAACCCUAAUACCUCAUUACGUAUAGCUUAAGAACCAUAAAUCAGGCCAAUAGAGGGCUAUAAAUACAACCUUUGAGAGCCUUCUGAAGGCAUGACCAAUACAUUACAAACCCUAAUACGAUUAUUGUACUUUUGCAAGUACAAUGAGGAAGGCGAUAUUGACAGGGAAAGUUUCCACCUAAUUUGGGCUAAAAACAUGGACUUUUGGGGGUAAAAAAGUCACAAAAAGUGACUUUUUUCGCAAGGAGCAGGGCGCCUAGCGCAUAAUGGCAUGCACCUAGCUCAUGUUCCUGCUAGGCUGAGGCGCCUAGUGCCCCUUUCAUGCGCCAGACGCUUCAGUUGUUUAGCUUAGGGGCACCUAUUGUGCACCUGGGUGCAUAAGUGCCUUUUCAGUGCCUUUUCAGUGCUGUUUUUCUUGUUUUCUUUGCCUUUUGAGGUGUUUUCUUCAAUGUAAGAUGUCUUGGAACUUGAGAACAAAAUUCCUUCCUUUGUAAAGACUUCUGAGGCAUCUUGAAUCUUCAUUAUUCAUCUUCCCAAGGUCCACAUAAAUCUUCAAAUGUCUUGCAUUGUCUGAUUUGCUUGAUUUCUUCGUGAAUUACUUCAACAACACCCUAAAAUUGCUAUUUUUCAGGAAGAAUAGAAUUACAAACUCAAUAUAAAAUACAUUACAAAUGUACCGAAAUCAUAGGCAAUUGAUCAAAUACUCUUCUUCUUUGCUGGUAAAACCUACUGAAAUUGACUGAAAAAUGUAACAGCCCUAUUUUCGUUAGAUUUAUUUUAAUUGUUUUAAUAUGUGUUUAUUUAUGCUUAUGUGUGAUUAUUAUCAUUGGGUGCAUUUUUAUGGGUUUUCGUGUUGGAAGGAUAAUUUAGUAAUUUCAUGUAAGGAUUAUUUUUAGUGUUUCAAGUGAGAACCAUUAUUUACUAAGUUACUAGUGUGGUAAUUAGUUGUGAGCCGGUAAGUGAUCGUUGUUAUUAUUUUACCGUUAAGGGAGUAGAAACAUUUUAGAAUUAGUGAAUUAGUGGGUUAAGCCCACUAAGGCAUUAGGGUUAAACCCAAUUGAGAAGAGCCUAUAUAAGUUCUAGAUUUUAGAGAAAAAUAGGUUUCCACUUCAUUUCAUAAGAAUUUUGAGAGAGGUAGAGAUAGAAAGUUCAAGAGAAGAGGAAAAUGGUUAGAAGGGAGAAAAGCUUGAAGACUCAAGAGGUGAUAGAGAUUCUAGGACCUAAAUUGAAGCUUUUGCUAGGAUUUUUGCUAAUUGAGGUAAGGGGGUUAGAUUUCAAUCAUAAUAACUUAGUUGUAGCUUUUACCCUAAUUUCAUGUAUAAAUGCUUAUUUGUAUAAAGUGAUUAUUAUGAAAUUAAUUGAUGAAAUUCGUGGUUAUGCUUUGAUGUGAUGUUUGGGUAUGUGAAAUUGAUGUUAAUUAAGUUGUUGAUGAAGAAUUUACAUGCUCAAGUUAUGUAUAUAUGUAUACUUGUGUUUUUGCUCAAAAUUGAUGAAGUAUAAUGUUAUUGUUGGUGAAUUGUUGAUGAAUUCACUUCUGAUUGUUGUUGUUGUGAUUGUGAGUAGUUGUUGUUGAUGAUUGAAACCUUGGGUAAUCUUAACCAUAGAGCUUGAAGUGAGUUUCUAUUGUUCUUGAAGUUUUCAUGAAAAAUAGGUCAAAUGGUAAUUUUGUUGAAAUUAUGUUGGAUUCAAGUUUUUAUAUGGAUUUGAGUGUCUUUUCAUGUUUAGACAAACUUUGGGAUCAAAUUUGGGUAUUGGGUCAAAAUUGGGAUUUUGGGGUGAAAAAUGAGUUUUUUUUUGUAGUAGAACUCCAGAAGCCUGUCACAACUCGCCAUGGCGAGCGGGAGGCGAGCAGGAGGUGCUUCCUGUGUGUUAACUCCCCAUGGCGAGUGAUUCACUCACAGGGCGAGCUGCACAGUGACAUCAUUCCCUGUUUCGCAAUCUUGCGUCUUUUUCACAUAUUUUUGUUUUGAAUUGGUCUUUGGUAUAAAUAUGAAAGUUUUAGAUAAUUGUGUUAGCUUUCCAGUGGCGUUGGUUUGACUUGAAAAUGAUUUUUGGUUUUUGAGUUAUGAUGAAAAUACUCCAAGGAGGUCUUAGUGAAAUUUUAUGAAAAUUCCGCAUAACUAUUUCUAAGUCAACCCAAAACUUAUGGAUUGUUUCCAAACUUCAAAACUUGUGUACUAUGAGUUAAAUUAAUGUGUUUAAGAGUAUUUAAGCUACGUUGUGGUGAAUUUAACUUGGUUUUGUUUUGAAAGUGAAUUGGUUUUACAUUAUGAGUAAAGCGAUACGAACUUUGCAAAACUUUGAAUUUAAGUGAGUUGGCCUAUGGGACCUUGAUGUAUACACUAUUGCACUCAUAUGUGAUUGGUGUAUAUACUUAGUUGAGGUUUCCAAAUGUGUUUACCUUGUUUUGUCGGAUAACUUGAAAAUUGGUAAAAUGAUACGAACUUGUCGUAACCUGUGAUUUUGAUGAUUUUGUCGUAGUAGGCCGGUGAAACGCACAUGUAUAUUCAACUACACUCAUAUGUGAUCUAAGUGUAUACAUAGUCGAGGCCCUAGAGUUUAUUUACUUGGUGUUAGUUCAUUUGUCUCAAUUAUUUUAAAGUUGUAAAAUGAGAGUUGAACUUUGUCAAAAAUGGUUCUUUAAAGCCAAUUACCUUAUAAAUCUUUUGUAGAUAACUUUAUAUGACUAAAUGAAGAUAUGUGAAUGAAUUUUUAAUUGUUGAAUAUGAUAUUAUCAUAAGGUGUUGCAUUUUCUCUUUACUUGGAAUAUGAUAAGUAUUUGGAAUGGUGGAACUAUACUAUAUGGUUGAUGUUGAUUAAUAUUUAUAUAUCAAUUGAUGUUGAUGAUUACUGAUAAUUAUGAUGAAAAUGUGAUGAUGACUCUUAAUUGGAUUAUGACUUUAUUGUUGUGUGGACGUAAAUAUUUGAUAAUGCAAUUGUUGUUGAUGUUAUCCUUUAUAUUGUUGUUGAAUAUUUAUGAGGUGAUUUUGCAUUGUCAAGUCUUUCCUUGUAUGUCCAUGCAUCAUAGUCAUGUUGAGUCUUGAUGUUGUAAAGGAGGGUUACUCUUUUACUUUGGUGAUAAUGUAAGACGGGUGUGAAAUUUUACAUAUGAUGUUUUUGUUGCAUCAUGUGUGACGACCUUGAGGUGAUUUGGUACCACAUGCAUAUAUGUGUCGGGAUUAGGCACAUAUCAUAUUGGCGUGAGUCUUAAUUGAUGUAUUUGAAUGAUGAUUGAUGAUGAUAAGUGUGUUUGAUGAAUACAUACUUGUGAUAUUUAGAAUUGUUGCAUGAAUGUGUAUAUGGAAGUUAAUUGCUCAUGAUUAAUUAAUUGAUACUUGAUUUGAUUCAUUUAUGUCUAACUAUUUAUGUGGAUUAUGAUUGUUGUAAAGCUUACCCCUAGUGGUUUUGACCACCUACCUGUCUAUAUGGAUGGGUAGACGAAGUGCAAGAUUAGUCGCUUUGGUGAGUUGCUUGGUGAUUGCUUAGAUAGAGGGAGUUAUCUCCGUUAUCGUUUCCUUAGAGUCUUAGGAUAGGCUCUGAUCUAGGAUGUAUGUCUUAUGAUUAUUCUAGAUUGUUUAUUUUGGAUUUAUUUGUGUUGUGGAGAUUUACCCAAUUGUCGGAAUUUGAAGAAUUUUUAUGUUGAUGUAUUUUGACCUCAUGGCAUGUAUACUUUUGAAGUGUAUGGUUUAUAUCCGCUGCAACGGUAUAGAAUUUUUAUAUAUGCUUGUUAUUUGAACAUUGUUGAUGAUGUGGCGUCUAUUUCUUGGAUAUUUAUAUUAUUCGCGUGUUUUAUUGCUUUAAUAGAAAUAGGGCGCUACAAAAAACAUGCUAAAAAUAACGUAAGAUGUCCUGUCAUCAUACAACGAUUGAGAAAAAGAUAAAGAUUGUCUAAUACCCAAGACUUCUUACAUAACUAUUUCAUCAAAGCAGAAUAGUUCAAAAACUGGAAGGUGUGGGUUUUCAUGACCUAGGAAUACAGGUAGCUCAAGUGAUGACAACAUAAUUUAUGGGAAAUAUGAGAAUCAUCAAGUCUGUGGUAAUGUCAAAUGGAUUCUCAAUCAGAAAAGAAUGCAGAACCUUUAUCCCAGACUUUCCCUCGAUCAUCCAAGAACCAAAUACCAAAGAUCUAGCAGACCUAGUGUCACAAGCUUCUGAAGAUCUAAUCUGACAUGGACCAUGCUCCUAGGGCAUGGACCAUGCACCUAGGGUAGGGUGCGUUUCACAGUCACAUGCGCCUAGGGCAUGGAGUGUGCUCCCUGAGAACUAAAAAAGUGUGGGGCAAAAUUGAUUUUUUUUCGACUUUUGUGUUGUUAUUUUAUGUUGUGAUUUUCUCAGAUUGGAGUGGAGGUAGGAUGUGAGAGUUCAACAGAUCACCAUUUGUAUGACUGAACAGACUAUUCAGAAAAUCUGAAUCAGUGUUUUGAUAAAUGGUUUAGCUAGAGGGUAAUGAUAUAGGUGGCGAAGGAAUAAUGAUGGAUGGUACUGAAGAAAUGUUAACAUAUUAUGUAAGCUCAAGAUCAAUACCUUUUGUAUUAUGAGAUUCUUCUGCUUUGCCUGGUGAGGUUGGCUCAACGGUAGCUGUUGUGAGGUUGGCUCAACGGUAGCUGCUUCUGUGACUAGCAUGCUGACUUCUUCUGCUUGCUUCUGUUGCUUCUCUUGGUUCUCACACUCAUCUACAUCGAUGAAUAUUAGAUGACACAAAUCUUCCUUAGCAUGUACAUUCUUCUUCCUUUCUGGUGAGGGAAUGAGUGAGUGAAUAGUACCAGAGUUCCUUGUGAGCUUGGAAAAAUCCGUUUUGUAGACAGAUCACAAAGUCACAUACUCUUAAUUUGUCUCUGAGUCGGUUUUGGAUUGCCUCGUCUUUUUGGGUGCUUGAGAAACUUUCUCAUCACCUUUCCUCUUAACCUCGACUUUCUUUAACUUCUUUGUUGGAGGAGAUGUUGUGACUUUGGAUGAUUUCCUCUUAUUCUUCUUGUUGUCUGCAGUUUCUGAGUCACCAGGAGUUUAAUCCGGAAAGAACUAAUCCGCAACUAAUUACUAAUAUUUUUCAUUGAAAAAAAAUAAUUUUAAAUAAGACUGGUACCUUGGUCUGUUGUAAAUUUGUAAGAACUAAUUUGACAGACAAUGAUAUAACUCAAAGACUAAUUUAUUUGUAAGUGCAAUAAUUUUGUUACUAAUUUUUGACCGUAAAUAACACACAAGUUAGCAGAAGGACCAAGUUGUUCAAUAUAAUUCAAAAUGUGAUUGUUUUUGCCAUGGCAUCCCCCAGUUUUUCUAUAAUUACACAAGAUUCCCUUUGUCUCGAUGGUUAGGAAGUACAAUUUUCUUUUGGAUGUCUCGUGUCUGAGUCCUAAUUCCCCUCAUUUUUAUAUUUCUAUUAUAUUAUAUUUUAAAUUUUAUUAAAAAAAUGUUCUUGAGGGGGAAUCGAACACGCACCACUACACUGAAUUCUAGCAAAAAACUGACCCCUAGACCGGUUACUGAUCUGAAGAAUAUUAUGAAACAACUAAACAUAUAUUCCAUAAAUUUUGGCACCCCCAAGAUAAAAACUCAAGAUCCGCCAUUGCCUAACUCAAGGUCCUAAAUACGCCACUACCAUUAACUAUAAUUAAUAAGAGUGUUUUAGAAAAUGAAACAUAUUUUGAACAUAUUUCUUAUCAUUUCUUUAACAAUUAUGUAAAACUCAAAAGGAACCCUUAAUUUGAGACAGAGGAUAUAUAAUAAUCGAUGAAGUUUAAUAUCUGCAAAAAAGUGUUAUUAAGUGAAGUAAACUUAACAAGGGUGACACUUGUUUUCUUUUGGUAAGGUGUGGGAGCACUCUUGACUGAGUUUCUAUUUUUUUUUUUUAUAUUCUUUUGAAAGUUGUAGUGGUGUAAUUGGGUGGUUAGUUGAAGUAAUUUUCGUUUUGGUUCUUGCUUGAUCUAUUUUGCAUUGUGAAAUUUCAAUUCUUAGUUUGCUUUCUACAUUGACGGAGUUGCUAAGUUGCAAUCAAACUUUUGAGUGUGUAUUAAUUAUAACAGUAAGAGUGUUGCUAGCACUACUCUUAUAUAAAAUCAGAUGUAUUUUUAAAUUUAUUUAUUUAUUUUUUUUUUUUUAAUUUCUACGAAAGUGGUGCACUUUUCCAUGAAUAUGCUUUUAGUGCAACUCCUUACCAAUGUAGUCAAACAAUUUCUUAAAACUCAUUGUUAUUAGUCAUUUCGAAACAAUGUAUUCACCAAGACAAAGGAGUGGGUGGAAGGAUAAUGGGUGCAUGCACAAUCAAGAAAAAGUUAGGUGAACAUUACAAUCAAAAUAUAUAGCAUAGAGCAUCAAAAUUUAUCGUAUGAAACAAUGUUUUUCUAAAAUAUGAAUGUGAACAAAUAACCCUUCAACUCAUAAGAUGAUCUUUAAUAUAUAGAAUUAGAAAGUUAGAGUAUCAGUACACCGAAAUUUAUAUAUUCAAAAGUGAGGCGUAGUUGGUUUUCCUCUUUAUGUAGUAUAGUUCGGUUUUUCCAUUUUAUUAUGGUACUUAUUCCUAUCAAAUUGAUAAAUCAGCUUUAUCUUAUAAUUGAUUUAACUAAUGAUGACUUGAACAUCAAUAUUAUAUAUUCGGAUAUACGAGUACUUCAUCGUGCUCUUAAUUUAGAGAUGUUUUGAGUUUGUUUACAAAUUGAAUCUUUGAAUUUUAGACAUAGAACUUGUACUCUUUUAGAUAUAAUAUACCGAUUUGAAUGGAUAAAUACCGUAAUUCCAAACAUAUAUUUUUUUUUCACACACAUACCUCAUCCAUUACGAAACGCAGGAACUAAAGCUAUAUAAUAUAGUGAAGCUAAUUUAAUAAAAAAUAUAUAUAUUUGGUGAUGCUAAACUCAGUCUAACUUAAUGCCAGUUCAAAAGGAACACUGUGGUAUGGAGGAAUUCUUUGUUUUGCAUUUAUAAAUGGCAACUAUACCCUAUUAAUCAUCAUCAUAAAAAUAAUUUUUAUAAUGUAUGAGACCAAGUUUCACGUCUCUAUUAUUUUUCAUCAUUUUUUAGAAUUGUACGAUCUUGUACCAGAUCUUCGUUUAGUUAUGAUGAUAGCAACCACUCUCACUGAAAAAUUAUAUAAUAACAUUUUUUUGGCAUAUUUAAUUACUGAUCCUGUCGGUGUAUUAUUGUAAAAUUAGGCAAUUUGUCCAAUCAAUUCACACAUAAUUUCAAACCUGGCAACUAUAUAAAAACAAAAUCAUAGGUAAAUAAUGUAGAAAAUCACCAACAACCCUUGAAUUUUGUUACAAGAAAGGGCCAAGUCAUCACCUUAUCAAGAUUGUGAGUGGAUUCACAAAGAUCACGACUAGUAUAAAAGGAGGAAGUCACUCUUGUGUUUUCUGCACCAAACUCAUAAGUCACUAACAUGGCUUCCUCAAACUUCCUAGUGCUGCUUCUUUUUGCUCUAUUUGCCAUUCCUCAGGGUCUUGCCAAUUAUGAGAAGCCUCCGGUUUACCAACCACCGGUGUAUAAGCCACCAGUUGAGAAACCCCCGGUCUACAAACCCCCUGUAGAAAAGCCACCAGUAUAUAAGCCACCAGUAGAGAAGCCUCCAGUUUACAAACCACCGGUGUACAAGCCACCUGUGUACAAACCCCCAGUAGUGAAACCCCCAGUCUACAAACCUCCUGUUUACAAGCCACCGGUGUACAAGCCACCAGUUUACAAACCACCAGUAGAGAAGCCCCCAGUUUACAAGCCACCUGUAUACAAACCCCCAGUAGUGAAACCCCCAGUCUACAAACCUCCUGUUUACAAGCCACCAGUUGAGAAGCCUCCAGUUUACAAGCCACCAGUAGUGAAGCCACCUGUUUACAAGCCCCCAGUCUACAAGCCACCAGUAGUGAAGCCACCUGUAUACAAGCCUCCAGUCUACAAGCCACCCGUUUACAAGCCUCCAGUUGAGAAGCCUCCGGUCUACAAGCCACCUGUUUACAAGCCCCCAGUUGAGAAACCUCCAGUCUACAAGCCACCGGUUUACAAGCCUCCAGUCGAGAAGCCACCAGUUUACGGACCUCCUCACCACCCAUAGGACUCUCGGAUGCUUUUAAGUAAAUAAGUUAAAUAAGAGAUAUAUAAUGUUUCCAAAGCAAGGAUUAUAUAUUCUUGGAAUCUUCAUUUUAGUCUUUUGUUUACAAAUCCUAUUACCAAGAUAAGAAUGUGAAAGAAAAUGGUGCAUUUGUACUCCAAGUUAUGAAUAAGAACGUUGUGAUUUAGCACUUUUUAAUUUGUGUUGGUUGACUAAAUUGGACAUAGUAUAUAUAUACUCUACUUAAUACUCUGUCAUAUCAGUAAGGUGCAUGAAAGUUCAAUUUUCUGUAGUAGACAUAACGAAUAAUUAAUUUAUGUUUGAAUCUAGAAUUUACUAAACUUCACGUACUUGGAAUUUCAUUGCAUUAUAGCUUGACUCAGUAGUAGCUUUAGUGAAAAAUGAUUUUGGUGCUUAAAAUUUUAAGAGUUGGAGUUUGGACAAAUUAUACACUCAUAUAAUUUAGUUAUCUUUUCAAAUUUACAAUUACAAUUUUCAAGGUUCUAUAUUUGUGUUGAUGCACCAAUUAAGAGAAUGAUCAAGAAAAUUAGGUUUUUAAUUGGUUUUUAUCGAUGAUUUCUGAAGAUAUAUUUCGGCAGAUGAACUAAUCCUUCAAUUUAAGAGAUUAAAUUGCCAUUUUACAAAUUUCAAUGAUUAUAUUAUUACCUAAUCUUAAAUAUAAUUUUUAGGGCUAAAACGAUGAUUCACUCAAUAUAUAUUGUGAUUUCUUAUUUUUUUUAUGAUAUAAAGAUAGCUGAAGUUGUGUGAUAUACAAAGUUAUAUUUCCUUUGGAAGAUAAGAGUCCCCCACCAUAUUGACAUGAAAGUGAACGUGGGAAAAUAUGUGCAAUUAAGGUUCCAAAUAUUAAACAAUAGCCACAAUAAUUGUCUAUAACUCAUAACAAAUAUAAGAACUUGAUAAGAAAAAUAAUAAAUAUAAGAACAUGAGCAGGCCAUAGUUUUUUAGCCCGAGAAGCUUCAUCUUCUUUUUAAGUCUAACAUUUUUUAAUCUUCAUUCAAAGAAGAUUGGUGAUUUUGGGAUAUUUUUAUAAGAUAGGUAAAUAAUGAAAUUUGUGUUGUACUCGAAGAAAUCUACCACACGAUUUGAAUGAAUAUAUUACUUUUAGUCAAAAUAAAUUAAAAUAAAGAAUGUAACAUUUCAAACUCACUCACAUAUAAAGAAUGAAUUUACAAUCUUUAAAACACAAAUAUUUAAUCCUUAAAUCUAACACCUCUCUUAGUUUUAGCGAAAUGAACUUUGUGUUGUACUCGAAGAAAUCUACCACACAAUUUGAAUGAAUAUAUUACUUUUAGUCAAAAUAAAUUAAAAUAAAGAAUGUAAAAUUUCAAACUCACAUAAAAAGAAUGAAUUUACAAUCUUUAAAACACAAAUAUUUAAUCCUUAAAACUAACACCUCUCUUACAUUUAUUUUGUUUACGUACCUUUAUUUUGUUUUCAAAUACUUAUAUUUAGUUGAAUUCCUUCAUUAUACUCUUUUUAAUGAAUUUUCUGAACAAAAUAAAAUUGUGUUACUCAGUCACUCAAAUUAGAGUGGAUAGAGCAAUGAAAAUAUUUAUUACUAUGUAGUUUAUAGUUGGAGUGAUCGGAUAGUCUAGUGGGAUCUUAGCCACUCUCGUUUGACUCACUUGGAGCAUGUCAAAAAUAUUUUUUUGAAAAUGAACGAUGGAGAUUUACUUUGCACUAGGUCCAGUGAAAAAGAUAUGGGAGAUAAUCCCAAUCUUAGCUUAUUGGGUAGGCCAGUGUUGAGAAUGGAUUCUCUCAAAUGUAAUUAUCUCACUAGUCUAAUUACCAACACAAUCAAAGAGAAAAAAUAGUGGGAUGUAAGUAAAAAAUCCAUAUUCUACUUACUCAAUCAUCUAUACAAGCUACUUUAAUUAUCUAGUCGAACGUUACGAGCGUUACAAGAGAAAUCAGAAUAUCGAUGAUCAAAAUCCUUCAAAGCAAAAGAUGUUGUUGUGUGCAAGUGUGAGUUAUAUGCCCCACAUCGGAUAAAAGAGUAAAGGUUGAACACCUUAUAAGUAAGAGGACCAUAAACCCAAAGCCUUAAGGUUUUGGGUAAGAGUGUGGUGUCUCCCUUGCUUGUCUGGUUGUUCUAGCCUCGAUGUGGACGCUCCCCCAAGCUCCCCUCGCUGACCCAACAGUGGUAUCAGAACCCCGGUUCGAUGAAGGGUACGACUGAGGCCGCCUGUCAGUUGUGCAGAAAGCAGCAACGACGGUACAAGCAACAAGUGGCUUCUUGUGCAGCAACGGCUAUACAUGCAAAGUAAAAAGCUUCCACGCGGUACAAGCAACAAGUGGCUUCUUGUGCAGCAAUGGCUAUACAUGCAAAGUAAAAAGCUUCCACUCUAGGGGAGCGACUCACGCUUGAGGGGGAGUGCUGUUGUGUGCAAGUGUCUGUUAUAUGUCUCAAAUCGGAUAAAAGAGUAAAGGUUGAACAUCUUAUAAGUUAGAGGACCCAUAAACCCAUAGCCUUAAUACUGUCCUUUUUGCAUAUUUAGCCCCCCCGAAACCAAUUUUAACCAAUUCAACGAUGACGUGGAUGUCACGUGUGUAAUGCUUUAAUUAUUUUAGUUUUAGAUAGAUACAGAGAGAGAGGUGUCAUAUGUCAAAAAAAAAAAAAGAUAGAAAAGAUUUCCUUCCUUGAAUCGUUGAGGUAACUACAAACUAAGACAAUGAUGUUAUUGGUUACUUGUUUCUAAUACCUUUGAAAAAGAUAGUUAGACCAAUGUAUUGGUCAUUAACUCUUUUCAAUGGUUACUACCCUAGUGUCUAAGGUGAGUCAUAACAACGUCAAAGUAAGUACAAUUAUUAUUAAUUUAUGUCUACACCUAAUCAAUAAUUGAAGGUUAAGAUAGGUCAAGCCAACAAAGUUAAGGUUAAGAUAAUCAUUUUCACCUAAAUUGAUUUAUGAACAUAUGUUAAUGAUGACAGUCCGUCAUAUCACAUUUUUAGAGUCUUUUCAAUUAAGUUUUUAUUCUAAUUUUAUUAAUUUAGUACUUAAUUUAGAGUCAUUUUAAAUAAAUUGUCAUUUUCUUAUUAUUGAGUCAACUAGUGUAUUAUUACUAUUAUUAUUGGUCAAUUAGUGGCUAGUAAAGAGAAUGAAACAAAAACAUGGUUUUGUGAUGGAUGUGAUUGGCCAAGAAAAAUGAUAACAAGUUGAACGAAAGAAAAGAAGACCACACAAUGUUGCAUUAGGGUGCAGGAAUCAAAACCAAUAUAAUUGGGCUUUCUUUCAUGGACGUUGAACCAAGAAAAAGAAAAGAAAAGAUAACUUGCUGCAUAAUGUUAAUUUGGAAAGAAAAAUAGGUUUGACAAGCUAUAAAAGGAGACCACGCACAGGAACAAAGCAGACGAUUGGGAAAGAAAGAGCAGCACGCGGUACGAGACAAAAGGAGGAGGAGAAAAGCUCAUGGAAUUUGGAAUAUGCAACAGUACUGAUUAAAUAGAACAAAGCCGGUAGACCAUAAUUCGAUCGGUUUAUUUCUUUUAGUAUGUUGUUUAUUCCUUUAAUAUGUCUAGUUAAUUCCAUUUGAUUGAGUCACGAUGAACCUAUUGUAAUAUAUGAAUCAGUAGUUAAAACUCUUUUUAUUAUCAAUAUUAUUCAGUCUUUAUUCAGAAUUAUCUGUGUUCAUUGCCUUUCAUAUGAUUGUUUGCAUUGUUUGCAUUGUUUGCAUGACUAUUAACCCUAACUUCUUACAAUCACAUAAAUUGAUCUUAGGAAUUGAAUGACUACUAACCCUAACUUUUAAUCCUGAAAUAAUAAUUCUGUUUAAUUCAACAUAGGAACCUAGAGAUAGGAAAUUGAGGAUUAUGACAUAUAACGUUCUAACAUCGCUUCCGCGGUUAUUCAACCAGUUUAAAAGAUUAAAAGGUUAUAACUUAGGAAAUGGUUUUGAGUCAAGAGAUUGAUCAAAACUAAUUAGUUAAUUUGUCGUAAAGAUUGAAUAAGUGUUGAGAGCAAAGAGAGAUAAACUAUUUCACAUAAAACAAUAGAGGAUUUACCGGCUGAUCAUCUGUUUUAAUCCAAUUAUCAAACCAUUUUAUUUUAUGUUAUUUACUUUUUAUUGCACACAAACGUACUGCCUCAUACACUUAUAAAAUUUACACAUCCUAGAUAUUAACUUUAUUGCUAGUUUGAGAUUAACACAGUCCUCGUGGAUACGAACUUAUUUUAUUACUUCGAUAGUUUUAGUACACUUGCUAAAAUAUUUAUGAGUUAACCAAUAAAGAGUAUCAAGAACAACUUUAACCGAAUAAAAUAGAAAAGUAAUUAAAUGAAAUUUAUAGAAUUAUUCAAAGUUACAUAAUCAAACAAUUACGAGGAAGUUCUUAUUUCAUGACCUAACAUAUAUAGUAUUAGCUACUCAUAGAUUUUCUAAACAUAUAUAAAUAGAUAUGAAGAAGAAAGCAUGAGAAAAGGAUCAGCAAGUGAGGAUUAAUUGGCUCCCUAAUGGCCGUGGUCACUCCAAUCCUUCCAAAAUUGUGUUUCUGCCUUCGUCUUCUCGCUAAAAAGUAUUUUCCACUAACUUAGGUUUCAAUAUUUAUAGGUGUGCAUUUCCUUAAGUUUUUGGGAAAUUGGCACACGAUGCGAUCCUAUUCCUCAUGAUGCGAGGAUAACAUAACUAAUCUUGUUGGCCUCACGUUUAUUGUCCCGAUGCAAAGCUCAUGAAGAUUGAUACGAUUCAAGGAAAUGUGAUUUGAUUUAACCAAGCAAAAACCAAGAUCAUAGGAUAACAAUGAUACGAUUCAAAGAAGUGUUAACUUGAUUCACAGUAAUACAAUUCAAAGAAUCAUGAAUCGUUUAAAAAUUUAUGGAAAAUUAGCAGAAACUUUUCAUGAUAAGAUUCAAAAAAGUUUGAAUUGAAUCAAUUGGUUAGAAAAACAUUUUGACCAAGAAAAAUGAAGUUUUCUUUAUACAAACAAAACACAAGACAACAAGGGAUCAUAUGAUUUAUGAGGCAAGAUUUCUAGGUAUGCUUUAACAUGAUAUUAGUCAAUAACAACUAAUAUCUAAACAUCAUCAAAUAAAAACUACCUAAUGAACAUCAUAAAAACACAAACCUAUAACUACACAACUUCAUCCAACUUAUUGGGUGUACCGCAUUAACUAGAUAAUGGUCAUAUCUAUACUAUAUAUAAAGAAAAUAACAUGUUUUUCAAGGUGAGAAAAACACGAGAGGGGGGGGGGGGGGGGGUUGAAUUGUGGUUUCUUUCUCUUCUCCUAAAACCGAAUUCACUAUUCAGAACUUGAUAGAGUUCAGCUUCUGAAGUAGUGUUCAGAGUCUAGUUGCAGCGGAUAAGAAAAGAGAGAGAGAGAGAGAGGCAAGACACAAAGCAACUAUACAGAUUCCUUCCACAAACCGGAACUAGUCAUGUCCCCCUUGCACCUCCAAGAAGAGUUCACUAAAAUCAAUAUUCGAUUACAAUUGCUCAGGGCUCAAAAUAGCAAGAGACUUCAAACUACUCAAGAACAACUACAAGAGAUUUCCUAUGCUCAAGAACAAAAUCAAGAGACUUCCUAUGCUCAAGCACAACUGCAAGAGACUUCAUACAAAUCAGAUAAGACUCUUAAGAUUCUAGAAUUUCUAAAAUAUGAAAGUUGAUAAGAAAUUCUAAGUGAACUUUGAUGUGAAACAUUUUUAGCAGAGUUUUGGCACUUGUAAAAUUGUUGUAAGUCUCUUAGAAAUCUUCAAGUCUUCACUCCUUUAUAUAGAGGUGUGAAAGAGACGUUGUUGAUUUCCAACACAUUAAAAGAGUCGUUAUUGAAGCUUGAUCAAAUUUCAAUUCCAUUCCAAGUAUAGAGGAAUACCAGCGUAGUCACAAUUGUUGUUCUUGUACUAUUGCAGACAGAAAACAGAGUAGUGGAGAAGGUGGUUGUACAAUUGUACUAUUGUCCUUUUCCAAUGUUCUUCAAGGGAUAAGCAUCCAAUGACUUCAAAUUCCUCUUAAUUAGUUGUUGCUCUAGACUUCUAUUCCUUCUGCAAUGAUAGGCAUGAUAAUAACAACUCUUGACAAAUAUUGAAGCUUCCAGUCUUUCAGCUUAUGAUCUUAAACUUCUAACGACGUCAGCUUCUGGUAGUCUCCAGCUUAUGAUAAAAGUGCUUCUGAUGAUGUCAUCUUCAGAACCUCUUUGUCUUCAAAACCUCUUUUCCUUCAGAUGGUUCCUUGCAACUCAAGCUUCCUUUUUUUAAAUUCCAUUGCUCUCAUUUGUUCUUCUAGAACCCAUGCUUCAUUUAAAGACACUCAAAUUUUUGUAUAUGGUCCUGCACACUUGAACAAAUAUUAUCAUAUCCAAUUGAAUUUUUUUAAUACCUUGUUAUCAUCAAAACUUAAAGGGUAAUGUUAAACACAUUUUGUUCCAACAUUUUUGACUCUUUUAGAAUGACUUUUUCUCUUUCCAAAAUUACCAUCAACUUUCAAUACAAAUAACACAUACAACAAGAAUUGUGUUAUUUGAACAUCCAUAUAUGCGACAACUUUUGUGACAACCAAAAUUUUACAAAGAAAAUGAAGUAGUGGCACAAAAACCAAAGCAAUAGAGAGAGAAAGUAAAAAGAUAAUGUGAGUAUGAGAGAGAAAGUUGUCACAAAAGUUGUAAAAAAUAGUUGUUCAAAUAUCAUUUCUCCAUACAACAAAUAGAUGAGAGUAAAUUCAAACAUUAAAAUAAAAUUGUAAUACACACGAUAUGAGUAUAUAUGUCCAGUUUUUUCCUUUAUCAUUUAAAAAAUGUAACAAACAAGAUGAGAAUAUCAGAGAGAUGAGAGAUAGUGACGUGAGACAAGAAAGACCUCUCCGUGGCCCGCCUUUGCUUGAACGGUGGUAACCGCACCAGAAUUUAUCUCCAUUUGAGAGAUACACUAGGGGGUAGGUAUGCAGCCUGGGUGGUAGAAAAUGGGGGGGGGGGGGGGGGGGGUAUGGGUGAUUGGUCUGUAGUUAGGUCACGAAAGAGGAAAGCGACGCAAUCGGAAGAUCGAGGAAGGGACAAGUCAAGGGUUUCAGAGCGACGCGGAGGCACGGUAAGGGUUAGAGGGAUCGCACAUAAUGAUUACGGGUUUGAUGGCAGAGAGGCGCGACAAUCAGCAAGGGCUCUUCAUGAUCAGCAAGGUUUGGGUCGUUAUCAGUUUGGAAACAACGAUUUGGCUUUCGACAGAUGCGGGUCUGAUGCUAUCAUGGGAAAAGGCUUCUUCGACGACAAACAUAACAAUGGUAGUAAAAUUACUUUCUAUUUUGCAAACAUUCCUGAUUAUAUGCCGUUGUUUCGUCUCCGUCAAUACUUUGAAGUGUGUGGUAUUUUGUCUGAUGUCUAUGUUGCCAGACAACUAAAUUCACGUGGUCAGGUCUAUGGCUUCGUUAGAUUUUUGAAUGUGAGGAACAAGGACAAAUUAGCACAAGAUUUGAAUAAUGUAUGGAUUGGUGACUUUAAGGUCUGGGCGCGUGAAGCAAAAUUUGAUAGGUUUGCACAAUAUGAUGAUGAUCAUAGGGUGUCUAUGCAUGGUGAUAGAAGGGAUGAGAAUGGAGGGGAGAGGAGGCCGGUGGUGAGAACUAAUGGUGAUGGAGUAAAAAAUAUGAGGAUGUGUAAUUUUAAAAAAAUAGGAGGGAUAAUAAAAAUAGUUGUUGGUCUCAUUUUAAAAAAAAAUAAAAAAAUUGUUUAUAUAUUUUUGUUAUAUUAUCGGUGUCAAUGAAAUGGAUAAUCAUGGUUAAUUUGAUUUGUUAUAAUUUGAAAGCAACACACAUUUAUAUCUUUAAUUUUAAUCAAAAUCAAAAUGUUAUAAAAAAUACUAUUGCUAAUUUUCAAAUGUUAACACAAUAAAAAGAGCAGAAAGACGGAGUGCCCGUCUUUUCACUAGUUAUAAUAAAAGAAAUUUUAUUUGAUGUAUUGAUAAUGAUACUGAAACUUUUUACACAUACAUCCAAACAUUAUUCAUGACAUCACUUUUAUACAAGUUCUAAAAUAUCGCUGUAACAAAAAGGUUAAAAAACAACUCAUGAAAUAUGUACAUGAUUUAAUUGAAUAUAUGUGUAAAAGAAAUUAUAUAUCAACAUCUAUAAAUUAAAUUUAUUAUUGAAAUGAAAUACUAGUAAAAAUGAUGGCCAGCAUUUAUGAAAAUAAAGGUCUAACUGAUCAUGGGCCAAUUUAAAUCAAAAGUAGAUUUGUGCCCUCUAAAGGGUACUAGAAUAUAAAAGAUGGACGGCAAACAAGGGACACAAAGAAUAGAGAUGCUCAAUUUAAAACACAACUUCGAUUUUUUUUUUAUUUACUAAAAAAUAACUUAGAUUGUUUAGAGAAGAUAGGAAUUCAAUUAGUCUGACAACAUAUUUUGGAAGUACAAUUAGUUUCACAAUUAACUAUUUUGAUAAUCCUCCUUAUUAAAAAAAAAUUAAUAUUCCAUUUCGUCAAAUAAAACAAAAAGUUAGGGAGUGAUGAGAGAUCUUAGUCAAUAUUGUUUUGCACCAUAAUAUUUUUGAGAGAUUGAUUUGGCAUUUACAUGCUUCCAACAAAUACAAUGUAACAAGUGCUUAUAAUUAUAUGAUAUCGUCUCUUAAUAUUGUGACAGCUGAUCACUUAAACACAAUUUGGAACAACGAGGUCCCUCUGAAAGUUAGUCAUUUUACAUGGAGUUUGCUCUGUAGCCGAUUACCAACAACAAAUAAUUUUAUCAGAAGGCACAUUCUUAAUCAUAAUGUUCAACUUUGUGUAGGCUUUUGUGGUAUAAUGUAAGAUAUAGACGAUCUAUUUCUCUCUUGUGAUUUUUUUGAAAUUUUUUAGAUUGGUAUCUAUAAUUGGCUCGGCUUUACUAUGGUACAUCCAGAACAUCCGAAUAACUUUUCAACUCAUAUGGUUAACUUGUGUUUGGGUGAUUUGAUGGGAAAGAAAUGCUUGAAGUUUUCGCAAUCAAGAAGAAUCGUUACAACAUCUUCUUGACAAAAUUAAGCUUCAAUCCUAUUAGUGGUUGAAAGCGAAUAGAAUUUUCGCUCAAUUUUAAUAAAGUGGAUACUAUAUGAGAUUUUCGCUCAAUUUUUUAUGAGUAUGGACUGCACUUGGCGUUAGUCAUUGAACUCAUUUUACGAGACUCAAGUUCCAACUUAAGCCAAAAACUGAAACCAAACAAAUGAAGUAAAAAACUCAAGUUCCAAACUAAUGCGUGAUUUUAGUCAAAACAAUGUUUAUUUUUUGACAGUAGUUAGUUUUGGAUUACAGCUAUAUCCCUACACCCCACAAACUAUACCCCUCUCACCAAUAGACAAAACAAAAGAGUAGGUGGAAGGGUACAUAAUUAAGAAAAAGUUAUGUGAAAAACAAUAUUUUCUAUAGCCAAAACCAAAAGAUAUAUAUUGCAUUAUUGCAUAUAUACCAAUAAAAGAAGUACUGUGAAAUACAAGAUAAUGGCAUUAGAUUAGAAAUGGCCAAUUUGAUCUGUCUAUUUUUAAUCAUAUUAUUUAGAUUUGUUCAAUCUUUUACCAAAUCUUAUUUAGUUAUGCAAAAAGCAACACCUCUCGUUGAAAGAUAAUAAUAACGAUUUUUGGCAUAUGUUACUAAUAUUGAUUGAAAAAUGUUACCAAAUGAUGCAACUUCCCAACUCCAAUCCACUCAUAAUUUCAAACUUCGCUACCAUAUGAAAACAAAAUCACAGGUAGAAAUGUGUUGGAAAUCCUCAACAACUAUUGACUUUUGGUACAAAAGAGUGCCAAGUCAUUACUAAUUCAAGAUUGAGACAUGCAGCUGUGAGUGGAUUCACUAAGAUCACGACUAGUAUAAAAGGAGCUGGUCACACUUGUAUUUUAUGCACCAAAUUAUAAGUCACUAACAUGGCUUCCUCAAACUUUCUAAUGAUGCUCCUCUUUGCUCUCUUUGUCAUCCCUAAGGGGUUUGCCAACUACGAGAAACCUCCAGAGUAUCAUCCACCAGUUGAAAAUCCCCCAUUUUAUAAACCACCGGUAGAGAAACCACCUGUGUAUAAACCACCAAUAGAGCAACCUCCAAUUUAUAAGCCACCUGUAGAAAAUCCUCCAAUUUAUAAACCACCAGUAGAGAAACCACCCGUGUAUAAACCACCGUUUGAGAAACCUCCAAUCUACCAUCCACCAGUAGAGAUACCACCAGUGUACAACCCACCAGUUGAACAUCCUCCAAUUUACAAGCCUCCUGUAUACAAACCACCAGUAGAGCAACCUCCCGUCUAUAAGCCACCAGUAGAGAAGCCUCCAAUUUACAAGCCACCAGUAGAGAAACCUCCUGUUUACCAACCUCCUGUUUACAAGCCCCCAGUUGAGAAACCUCCAGUGUACAAGCCACCUGUAGAAAAGCCACCAGUGUACAAGCCACCUGUAGAAAAGCCACCAGUGUACAAGCCACCUGUAGAAAAGCCUCCUAUAUACAAACCACCAGUAGAGAAACCACCAGUGUACAAACCACCCGUUGAGAAACCCCCGGUUUAUAAGCCACCAGUAGAGAAACCACCUGUGUACAAGCCACCAGUUGAGAAGCCCCCAAUUUACAAGCCACCAGUAGAGAAACCACCUGUAUACAAGCCACCAGUUGAGAAGCCUCCAGCUUACAAGCCACCAGUUGAGAAGCCACCUGUAGAGAAACCACCAGUGUACAAGCCACCGGUUGAGAAGCCCCCAAUUUACAAACCACCAGUUGAGAAGCCUCCAGUGUACAAGCCACCGGUUGAGAAACCACCUGUCUACAAGCCACCUGUAGAAAAUCCACCUGUUUACAAGCCACCAUUUGAGAAACCUCCAAUUUAUAAACCGCCAAUAGAGUAUCCACCCGUGUACAAGCCCCCUUUUGAGAAACCCCCCAUCUACAAGCCACCUGUAGAGAAACCUCCUUUUUACAAGCCUCCGUUUGAGAAUCCACCAUUUUAUAUACCUCCAGUUGAGGAGCCUCCUGUUUACAAGCCUCCAUUCGAGAAGCCACCAAUUUACACUCCUCCAUUCUAGAGCCCACCUUACCACCCAAAGUUCCCUCGGGCAGGCGAUGGUACUCGUUAAUAGAACAUGCUAUGAAGAAAAUAUGUUAAAUAAGAGAUAUAUAGAGUUUUUUAUUUAAUCAAGGAAUAUAUAUAUUCAUGUAAUCUUCAUUUCAAUACUUUGUUUACAAUACUCUUGCUAUGAUAAGAAUAUGAGUGAAAAACAGAGAAAGAAAAUAGUGUGCUUUUCUAUUCGAAAUUAUGAAUAAGAUUUCUAUGAUUUAGAUGUUGUGUUGGUUGACUAAAUCGUGAUACAUCGACAGAGGCAGAGCCCCUCAUGCGCCAAGGUGGGUCAUGGCCCACCCCCAAAUUUUGUUUCUUAUUAUAUAUAUAUUAUGUUUUGUAAAUUUUUGAUGUUUUUGUAGCAUGUUGUAGUGGUUAAGAGCCUUUUUGCCAAGUCGUAUGUGCUAGGUUCAACUCUUGCCAAAACCAUUUUUAUUUAUUCUUUUAUUUUCUUUUGUAUAAAAAAAAAACAUAAUUCAUAAUUGUUAAAAUAAUCCUUUUUUUUGUUACUUAAUCCUUUCUUUCUUUAAUAAAACAUAACUCCUUUAUUCGAUUUAAAAUAAUCUUUCCUUUCCUUACUCUUAUUUUUGGAUACAAUUGUCUCUUUACUCUUUUAUUUUAAUUUUUUUUUUAUACAAAGGGGACUUCAACUCUUUUUUGUCAAAAAACAUUCUCUUUUAAAACAUAUAACAUAUUUUUUAUACUUAGUCGUUUGAUUCAAUUCGAUUUUAUACCUAUACAUCUGUUUAUUGAAGUCGAGUCAUUUAAUUCAGUCGUUAGGUUCAAUGGCCUAGUUGUUCGAUCAAUUAUCUUGAACUUUAUCAAGGUUGAUAAACAGUUCAUAUUUUAAAAUACCGGUUUAAAUUAUAUUCAACAAAUAACAAAUUUAUAGUCAUUGGAACCAACCAAUAAUAAAAUGUACUUGUAAGAAAAUAAAGCCUCAUCACUAUUUAUGGCCCACCCUAUACUUUUUUCCUAGCUCCGCCACUUUACAUCUUCGUAUUCUUUAGGAAGUUUCAACCUUGUUGACUAUGACAACAGUGACGACUAUAACGAGACUCGCUAUUGACUAUGACAACAGUGACGACUAUAACGAGACUCCCUACUUUUUGGUUUGCUUCAACAGGUUCUCAACAUAAAUAACUAACCAAGUUAAUUUGCCUGUGAAAUGUGAUAUUAGUAAGGUGCAUGAAGGUUAAGUUCUUUAGCAAAGCUUAGUAUCUUGAAUUAAAGAAUAUCGUUAAUUAAACUAAAUAUUCAUAUUAGGUAUCACAAUUUUCAAGACUUUAUAUGUACGUGUUGAUCCAUUAAUUAAGAGAAAUUAGACUUUAGACCCGUGCGUCGCACGGGUCAUUUCGACUAAUAUAUAAUAAUAAGUAAUGGUAAAAAAAAUUCUAAAAUAAAUAAAAGAUGAAGAGUAUUAUACAUUUUACUUACUCAAGUUCAAAAAAUAAAGUAGGAGAUGACAUGAAAUCGUUUAGUUGAAACAAACGAAUAUUAAAAAAUAAAAAUUAGACAACGACAGGGAUCUAAAAUUCUAUUUCUAAUCCUUCACAUAUCAAAAUUACAAUUGGUUCUCUUCAUUGUAAUCAUCUAAACUUAAUUAAAAAAUUUACAAGUGCAAAUAGAAUCGACAUUAUACAAGUCACUACUUGAUUCCAAAAACCUAUGUUUCAUGAAAACCACUCAUACCUAAAUAACAAUAAUAAACCUUCAAAACAAAAAUCAACUAUUCUCAAAGGACCCAAAAGAAAGAUUUUUAGCCUUCUAAAUCACAAUUUCUCUUGUUGUAUUGUUUUUGUGUCAAAAGCACCAUAAGUUGAAUAGUAGGCUCAGACACAUGACUUUCCUCAUAAGACAAAAUCACCAGUUUUUUAUAGGUUGAAAAAAUAAAUCAAAUAUCCUUAACUUUCAAUAACGCUUAGAAACAACUGAAACUUUUGCAUUAUCUCAAUCCACAAACAAAAUUGAAGACCUUUAUAUUUGCUUUAGGCACCUUAAGGAAUUCUAUGUAAAUUGUUUUCCUGCAAUGAAAUGCUAAACACAAUGAGCAAAGAAGAAGAAUUAACAACAAUAUUUGGAUUGUUUUAUUUAGCUUACAAUUCUUUAAACUAAUCAANAACACAAUGAGCAAAGAAGAAGAAUUAACAACAAUAUUUGGAUUGUUUUAUUUAGCUUACAAUUCUUUAAACUAAUCAACAAAAAAUUAAAUUUGCAUUAUAUCCUCCACAAUAUCAAGAAUUUUUCAAAGGGAUCAUUCUAUUUGUAUGGCUAUGAUGAGAACUCAUGUGUGUCCAUGAAGACCAGCUCUACGGAUAACCAUGUUCAUAUUAACUAUUUUAGGAGUGAAAAUAGGAUUGGAUUGGAUUUAGUAGUGAGCUGUUGUUUUUGAUUUCAGAAGCAUUUGAAAAUAACAUUUUGAUUAAAUGGAAAUAAUAGGAAGAAUUUGUUAAUAAAAGUGAUUUUUUUUUUUUUUUUUAUGUUGAUCUUUUUAUUGUUGUGUUAGAAACAAAAUAGGACGAAAUUGUAUUUUUUUUUUUAUGUUUAUCUUUUUAUUGUUGUGUUGGAAACAAAAUAGGAGGAAAUUGUUAUAGGAAUAGGAGGAACGAUUUUUAAAGUUUAUCUCUUAAUUAAACAGGUUUAAUUGAACACGGGGGUAAUAACGUAAAAGUCAUCAUAAAAUCUAGGUUAAAAUUAGGUUAAAAAUUGGCUUACGGGUUAACUUUUAUAUAUAAAGAAGUCAAGAGAAUCUAGAUCUGUGAAGCCCCGAUACUUCAAAAUGGAUGAUGUAUCGUAUCCGCUGCGUAUUCUGUAUCGAUACCUGCCCGAUACUUCUCAAAUUUAUGAGUUUUAUUUGAUUCUUCGAAUUCGAAUUUUGAGAAUUUUAGGGUUUGAAGGUUGGUGAUGGAGGUGAAUCUGAGUUUAUAUUAAGAAUUGAUGAAGAAUUUAAGGAGAGUGCAGUGAUGGAUAGGUAACUGAGUAUGAAUUGGUAUGCAGUUUGGAAAAACAAAACAAGAGGCAGUAGCAGCACCCCCACCCUUCCUCUACUUCUUCGACAAUAUGAGUGUUAGAUUCAUUUUCCUAGGUGUGAUUUUGAGGCAGAUGAAUAUGUGUGAGAGAUUGUAGAGGAAGAUCUCAGAUAUAGCUUUUAGGGAUGAACAUGAAUGAAUGAAUUUGUAGAUGAAGAUGAAUGUUGUUUGAACAUUUAAUUAAGAAAUUUUUAAUUGUUUUUUGUUUUAAUAUUUGAAAUUAUUAAAUUGUAUUUUGAAAUUCAAAAAACCUGUUUUAAUGACAUGUAAAUGACAUUUUCCAAAUUGGCAAUGCCACAUAGGCAAAAUUUUACCACCUGUGCAUUUUUGGAUGUGAAAAUAGGGGGUAAGACUAAAACUGCAACAAAAAUGAUAAUUGAAAAACAAUUUUAAUCUGUUUUAAAAGGGCAGGACCAAUUUCCUGAGUAGGCCACAACACGAGGACCAAAAGUGUAAUUAAGCCUUAUAUUUAUGUUGAUGUGCUACAAGCUUAUGACUGGUUUCUUUUGUUUGAUAAUAUAUUUGCAUAUUAAAUAAAAUGGUUAUAAUUAUAUUCUACAUUUAAUUAUAUAAUUUUUUUAUUGACGUAUCCCAACCAUAUCGUAUCUUGAUUUUUGAAAUUUUUUCGUAUUGACGUAUCGGUGCAGUAUCGUAUCUCGUAUUCGGGCUUCAUAGAUCUAGACUAUUAAUUUUUUUGAUAAACAAGAUUAUUAUUAUUUUUUGACAAAAACAAAGUGAGAUUCAUUCAUUCAAAUUGAUAGAGUACAUCAGAUACAAACAUUGCUAAAAACGUAAAGGAUAAAUCUAUGAACAAACUCACAACACUAAAGUUCAUACAACAGCAAAAUGUCUACAAAUAAUAUGAUAAAAUCUAAGUCACCAAAAUAUUCAUGCUUCCGGGUAUGCAACGUUGGCGCCCAAAUCAUUGAUUGAAUUUGUAAUUGACUAAUGUCGAUCUUUCAACAUGAACUAAACGAACACCGCGUCAAGACGCGAAAUCAAACAUCACAUAAGACCACUAACAACACAAUGCCACAAUUAGAUGACGAAAUCACAAAAACUCAAAAGGGAAAACUUGAUAUAUGUGAAAACCAUUUGUUUAGAUCGAAAGAAAAGAGAAAAAACGAUGUAGAGGGGUGAUUUUAGGUCAAAAAUGACCUAAAACCAGUUCUUUUUAAUAAACGAAGGAGAAAGAAUGUUUAGAGAGAAGUUGGAGUUUUUUUUUACUUAAAAAAUUAGGAUAAGCAAAAUUAUUAUAGAGGGAUAAAGGGCUCCCCAACCCAUAUACAAAAUGAUGGUUGCAAUGCCAUGUAGAAAAUAAAAAGAUAACAUUGCCUUUCUUUUUACAAUUAAACUAGUUACAAACCCGUGCGUUGCACGGGUUUAAUAACGUAUUUUAUAAAAAAAAAAUCUUUUAAAAGAAAAAUGAGCAAAUUAAUGAAUAUUGCACAAACAUUAUAAAUCUUUAUCAAAAUAUUUAUGAAAGCUUUAUCAAGUCUUUAAUACACAUUAAUAUUUGUGAUGAUUGAUAAAAGAAUUAAAAAGAGUAAAGGGUAUAGAAAUAAAUUUAUUAAAGAAUUAACAAUUUGUUUAAACUUAUUUUUGUUACAAUUUAGACCAAAAAAAAUAUUGGACUUCAUUGAGUUUCUCUAUAAUUUUUUUAUCAGGCUUGAAGUUAUGACUCUGAGUUUGAAAACCGCAAAAUUCACAAAAAUUAUUGAAGAAACACUAUAAACAAAUAAACGGCAUCGUCAAAAAUGAAAUCAUAUUUGGCUAUAGUGAUCAAGCAAACAAAAAAAAAGAAGCAUAUUAAAUACCUAUAAUCAAUGGAUUCUAAUUGCAUAGAGGCGACACUUAUACUUUCUCUAUGUUUGUUCAUCAAUGAGAGUGAUUAUUUUGCGCUUUCCUUUCAGAAUUGUUCUUGACACCUAGUUUGGGAAAUGCUAAACAGGGAAAUAACUGUAAUAUUAAUCUAAUGCAUAUUAACAUGGAUAAGAUGUAUGCGAAUAUAGUUAUAUAUAACUUAUGAAAUGAAGGUAACAUAACUGAUUUUAAGCUAAAGAAAAUGUACCAUGACUUCUAAUUUAUCUUUCUAUUAUCUUCCUAUAAAGUCUAGAGAAAUGCAUGCAUGUGCAUUAUAUGUACCCCGUUGACCAAUUAACAUUUUUGAAACAAAUGAAAAUUAAGCAUCACUCCCGCAUGUGCAUCUAUAGCUAACACCAUUUGACAUUGAUGUCUUCGAACAUUUGGUGCAACUCUCAUAAUACCAUCCAAACUGGUUAGGAUUGAAUUUAGUUGUUUUUCCAAAUAGUGAUGGAGUAUGUAUCCUAACACAAAUUAUGCACGUGAAAUAAAGAAUAGUGCAAUAUGCAUUUUUAAUUUGUGCGUAAAAAAAUUCAAAGCAUGUUUGUGAAAAAAAAAAAAAAAAACAGACCUUGACUAAGUUUAUAGAUUCAUCAAUUGGCCUAACUUGAGACAGAUUGGAAAAAUCGUUCUACGAAGUACUUUUUAAACUUUACUUUUUAAUCUAUCUGAGCUUGAGAAGUGUUAAGUUCACGACAACAAUUCAAGAAACAUGGUCAAUAAACAAUCAAAUCAGAUUGUGAAAUAAUAAGUUACUCUAACACUGUAUUGUGAAAUCAUAAUGCAAACUUACUAAGUCUUAAACUUUUCAACAACCGGAUGAUGUAGGUUGAUGAGCAGCCUCGAACCUGACCAAUUGUUACAUCUAUUUGCGUUGUCAUUGACUACAAAAUAGAAGCAAAGAAUUCAAGGUAAAUAAAUGGUAAAUGAUAAAGCUACAAAGUAUUUUACCCAUAAUGUUACAUCAACUAUAUUCCCAAUGCUCUAAAUCUCUAUAUCGAGUUAUUACAUGAACUCGAUCACCCUAAAUCCGAGAAAGAAACCAAAAAAUAUAAAUAAAUCAAAAUGUAUACUAAUAAGUAACAUUGAUAAAUCAUAAAAGAAAUUACUACAAAUCUUAACUAACUUAUCUAACCUUUGCAUCACAAAUAAUGAGCUUCAUAUGUUGAUUCUCAUUACUACCAGUCACAAUUCAAGAAUCCAGUACUCCAAAUCCUAUUUUCCAAACGUCUAAAUCAUUUUUGAGAUACUUAAUGUAGUCAUAAUCCCUUGACAUUGAAAUUCAUAUAUAGAAAUACAAUAAUACAUCAUUUAAUUUUAUUCCCUUUGUUCAUUCUGAUAUCGAAAGAAGCUAACAUAUUUCUAUGUGAUCAAUUUUUGUAUCAUCAAAUUAACCUGAUCUUAAAUGUACAAAUUUCUAUCAUCAACUUUCUGGACCCCAAUGAUAUGAUCAAAACAAAUUUACACCAAUCAACUUUUUGCACGGCUCAAUGAUAUACGAAAGAAUAAAUAAAAUAUGAAAACUGUUACAGCUUUAGGAUUACUCACAAAAACUAAAAUAAUUGAAAUGCAUCAAUUAUUUUCAACUCCUGUACCAGAAGCUAAAAUAACAAUUGUGUCAAAACCUUACCAUCAGUUAAAAUUCAGUCAUCAUGACCUCUACUAUACUCCACAUAACAAAAGACGAUUUUUCUACAGCCAUGCAACAUAACAAAUUUUGGUACAUAAUCCAAUAACAAUUGGAAAAAAAAAAAAAAAACCCUUAAAAUGCAUAAUCAUGAAAAAAGGAAGAAAACCAUCUAUGAUGAAGCAAAAACUAAAACGGUGUCGAAAAAUGAAGCCCUUAAGCCAUAAAAAUCAGUCAACUCAAGUCAUGCAUGGUCUCAGAACCAUGAAAAAAGAUAGAAAAUGACCUUUUUUUUUUUUGUGGUGGCCGGGGUUUGAACUCCGGACCUUGCAUAUUUUAUGCAUUGUCCUACCAACUAAGCUAAGCUCACGAGGACGAAGAAAAUGACCUCUUAUGAAGAAGAAAGUGAAACAGUGUUCCCGACUGAACUUAGAUACCGUUUGGUCAAGGUUUUUUACAUUAUAAAAGUUACUUCAAAACAAAGUAAAAAUAAAGGCCUUUAUGAAAGAAACUAAAGUUAUUUGGUUUUUUUGUUUUGUUAGUUUUAAAGCUAUUUAAGUUUAAUGUUGUUUGGCAAAAUAUUGUACAAACUUUGAAUUUAUUAUUUUUUAUAUGGUGUCUGGGGUUCGAACUCCGGACUUGGCAUGUAUUUAUGCAUUGUUCCUAUCAACUGAGCUAAACUCAUGAGGACAAAACUUUGAAUUUAUUAUUAAUUAACAUAAUAAAUAAAUAAAAUGUUUAGAAUAAUUUAUGAAGGCUAAAAAUGUUAAAAAAAUAAAAGAUAUUUUUUUUACAAAUACGAUAUUUACUCAAUAACGUUUAUUUUGUGUAACAUGAAUACAAAUUAAUAUCAUCAUAUAAAUAACUUGUUAAAUAUUUGAAUAGGAGAAACAAUUUAAGGAGUCUGGAAUAAUAAUAUAAAUAAUAUCAAAAUAUUUGAUUUUUUCUAUUUCAAUUAUACUCUAUAACAAAUUUCGUUAUAAGAAUACCAUAUUUUUUGUGUCUUUCAAAAAGAUAAGAAUUUAUAUUAUAUGAUAUUAUAUUUGUUACAUUGUUGGUGUCAUGGAAACAGAUAUGUUUAAUUUUUUUGAACAUGAAAAUGAUAUGCAUAGUUUGUUACGAUAUAAAGGUGCAAUAUAUAUAUAUAUAUACACCUUUUUAGGCAUCUAUACCUUUUUUUGAAGAAAAGACAUCUACAAUUUUACUUUUAAUUAAAAUUUAAAUUUUAUAAAAAUAAUCAUACGCAUUAUGCAACGCUAAAAAAAAUUAUACACAUUAGCGUAACAAAAAAACAGACACACAUAAAGAAUUACUCUAAACGCUAAUGUGUAUGUGCGUAUAUAUUUGCGAGGUUGAAGAAAGAAAAUACAAAUAUUUGAUAUCAUUAAAUGACAGCGUGAAUAAAAAUAUUUGUGAAGUUGUGAUGAUUAAACGAUAUUGAAAUUAUAAGUGAUAAAAAGAUAAUAAAAUUCCUUUGAAAAAAAGGUAAUAAAAUUAAAUGGAACCUCCUUAAAAAAAAUUAAAUUGAACGCUUCAAAUUAAAUGGAAGAAAAAAAUAUAUUGAAGUAUAAUAUUAAAAAAUAAAAAAAAAGGUUCCCAACGUGAAUUGAAGAGAGAUGCUUGUGAAAUAAAUUGUCGAGAAGUAGUUUUUUGAAGAAGCAUUCAACAACUUUUGGUCAAAGUUCAUUGCAUUCAAUUUUAUGCAUUAAAAAAGGUACAUUUUUUAGAAAGUACUUAAUUGAUAUUGUAUUUGACCUAACUUCUCCUUAAAAAUAUAGGGAAGUUGAAAAAAAAAACCGGGUCAAACGGUAUCUUAAUUUCCCACAACGGCAGUGUAGAAACAACUGAAUUUGGGAGAAAAAAAUUGGAAAAUAGUUAAAAAUAAAAAAAAUUGAAAAAUAGUUAAAAAAAAUCGGUGAGGUAGCACCUAACCAAACAACACUAAAAAAAAUUAUAUGCAUCAGCGUAACAAAAAAACAGACAGACGGACAUAAAAUAUUACUCUAAACGUUAAUGUGUGUGUAUAUAUUCGCGAGGUUGAAGAAAGGAAAUAAAAAUAUUUGGUAUCAUUAAAUGACAGCGUGAAUAAAAAUAUUUGUGAGGUUGUGAUGAUUAAACAAUAUUGAAAUUAAAAUAAUUAAUAUUGUGUUUGACCCAACUUCUCCUUAAAAAUUUAGAGAAGUUGGAAAAAAGUCGGGUCAAGCGAUACCUUAAUCUCCCACAACGGUAAUGUAGAAGCCACUGAAUUUGGGAGAAAAAAUUGGAAAAUAGUUAAAACUAAAAAAUAAAAAAAUCGGUGAGGUAGCACCCAACCAAGCAACACCAAAAAAAAAUUAUAUGCAUUAUCGUAACAAAAAAAUAGACAAACAGACAUAUAAUAUUACUCGAAACAUUAAUGUGUGUGUAUAUUCGCGAGGUUGAAGAAAGGAAAUAAAAAUAUUUGAUAUCAUUAAAUGACAACGUGAAUAAAUAUAUCUGUGAGGUUGUGAUGAUUAAAUAAUAUUUAAAUUAAAAUAAUUGAUAUUGUGUUUGACCUAACUUCUCCUUAAAAAUGUAGAGAAUUUGGAAAAAAGCCGGGUCAAACGAUACCUUAGUCUCCCACAACGGCAAUGUAGAAGCAACUGAAUUUGGGAGAAAAAAUUGAAAAAUAGUUAAAAACAUAAAAAUUGGAAAAUAGUUAAAAGUUAUUAAAAAUUAGAAAAUAAUUUAAAAAAUUGGUGAGGGGCAAAAUGGGAAAUUUGGCAUAAAAAAGAUGAGGUGGCACCAAACCAAACCCACCAAUUAGAAAAUUACUUAAAUGCCCAUUCCAGGGACAAAAUGGGAAUUUCAUAUGGCAUCAAUUUUAAUAGAGUAUAUAGACCACUCACAUUACACAAAUGUUGAAAUAUAUGAUGCAUAUUACUUUUUAAAUUUUUGGUUUAUAGUUGCAUUUUUUUUAGGGUUAAUAGUGUUUUUCACCCUUGUAAUAUAUGUCAUUUUCGGUUUUCGACCCUAUAAAAUUUUUAGUUUUAUUUUAACCCUCGUAAAAUUUUUAUUUUCCGGAAAAGACCCUUAAUAGGCCAUUCAAAAACCAAAAUUUCUUGAAAAAAAUUCUGAAAAUGGCCUAUUAGGGGUCUUUUCCGGAAAAUAAAAAUUAUACGAGGGACCACCUGUUGAGAAACCACCUGUACACAAGCCACCAGUUGAGAAGCUACCUGUUUACAAGCCACCUGUAGAGAAACCUCCGGUGUACAAGCCACCUGUUGAGAAGCCCCCAGUUUACAAACCUCCAGUAGAGAAGCCUCUAGUGCACAAGCCACCAGUUGAUAAACCACCUGUACACAAGCCACCAGUUGAGAAGCUACCUGUUUACAAGCCACCUGUAGAGAAACCUCCGGUGUACAAGCCACCAGUUGAGAAGCCCCCAGUUCACAAAC
rnacentral:lncRNA from 1 species